GGAGAUUACUUUUACUUUGGUGGACCAGGAAGAAAUCCUAAGUGUCCAUGACCAAAAGAUGCAGAAAUCUUGAUAUGCGAGAGGCAGAAUCUUGCUAUGCAUUUGAUCAUCUGAAUACAGAAAUUGAUUACAUUUCUUUAGGCAUUAAAUCAAAUUGUAGAAGGCAAACAAUGCCAAAGCAAUACACAUAUUCAGAAGCAAGAAAAAUCAAACUGUACUACUCUAUUAUCAUCAUAAUAUUUACCUGUAUGCCUGAAUAAAUAACCUUUCUUAUUCUCAAGCUCCUCCUUGUCUUUCCAUGUCAUAUACGCCUAAGACGUAAAAUGAAACCAAAUAACGUCCAUGAUAAAAUGAUAGAGAGUUACCAAUGGAGAACUAGAUUGUUUCCUUUAUUAAUUUUUGGUACUCAAUUGCUCGGUAUCCAAUAUGGUUCAAGGAAUUUUAUUCAAACUGAACCAUCAAAUCCUGUCAUCAAGUCUUAGUGAGGAGGUGAUGUCCUUCAAAAACUAAUAACCCCAUGCAGAUGUUCUUUCUUCUGGACUGAAAAAUCGAAUGUGAUAAAAUAAAUUUCUAAGUUGUUCAGUUUUUGUUGGAUUAACCGGUUUUUUUUUUUCUCCACUUCCCGUCAUAUGAUAAUUCAACUUUUCUACUUGCAAAUAAACUUUUUAUAGUUAUCGAGAGAUUGUUGGAGCAAAUACGGUCCAGUAACAUAUACAUGGAGGAUCCAUUGCUAUAAAAUUGAAAAUUUCUUCCUUAAAGAGAAAAAUGAUUCGUUGUAACCACUUUCGUUUUCUUUCCGCAUCUUUACAGGGAAAUGAAGAUAAUUUUUUUCAAUCACUUUGCAACCUAACAUGCUGCAUUCAUGUAUGAGAUUCAAAUGUUAUCUUAUUCAUUCCAUGUUCUAUUGCCAAAUUAAAUGCCAAUAUCCUGCUUUAAACUGUAUUUCCAUUUUUGCUGGAUAUGAUGUUUUCAGCUGUCUGAAUUUUCUUGAGGAACGAAUCCAUUAUCUGGAGAUGUGUUUGUGGCUAUGUAGCAUACUGGAUCUCGUAUGUCUUACUAAAAGGUUAAAAAAGCAAAAUAGUUUUUUAUUAACAAUUGUAAAAUCCAUUUCGUCUUACCCCAUUAUUUUCUUUGUUUAUUUGGAAAAAUUUUAUGAUACAUUUUAGUAUUUCGGUUAUUAGCACUAUAUUUAUUUCUUCUUUGGCUGUCCAAAUAUAUUUCGAAUUCUUGCUUUGAUGCAUAAAUUAAAAGAGUUGCAUCUUUUGAUUAAUUGUUUAAGUUCCAUGCAUUGUAACUCAAAUUGGUUAAGUAACUUUCAGCUGCACAGAUGAAAAUGAAUAAACGAAUGAACAAGGAUGAUAUCUGGCAAAAUGUUCCGUUGAAGUAUUAUUCAUUGUCUCUGAAGGUGCAAAGAACAUAGUUCAAAGACAACAUGGUGCAUCUAUGCAAUUGAAAUGUAUACCUAACUAGAAACUAAAUAUCUUCUUUUACAUUAUAUCAAGUCAAAGAUACGUAAUUAAAAAGGAAGUAAAACUCGAGAUAUGAAAGUAGAAUAAAAAAAUGUCUCACCAUAGUGCGGAAAAUAAUAAUUAGCAAAUUAUACAUACUUUGAUGAAAUUACAACAAUUGAGCAAGAGUCCAACAGAUUAAGUUAUCAAUUUAAAAUAUAUUUCAUUGUUAUAUGUAGAAAUUAAUCUUUAAAAGAAUCAUUCAAAAUGUCUCUCACCUUUCGUCAAAUGAAUAUUAUCAUCCUUUACUGUUAAAAUAGUAAAUUUACAUUUCUUACAAACUCAAGUCAAUAAAUUUUGGUUUUAACUUAGAUUUUUGAUCAUUUUUUACCUUGUAAAAUGGCUGCAUAGCUUAAUUACACUGAACCAACAUUUUUAACUGUGAUUUGAGAUAGUUAUAUAGUGGAUGGAUUUUUGUUAGGACCAAAACUGGGCGUGUGGUGAUUACAAUAUGGAAUGACAGUCACAAAGUGAGAUUAAUAAUGUUCAUUGGGCUACAAACUUCAGACUAGGAGACUUAACUUUAGGAUUUUCUUUUUCUAUAGGCAAGAUAUGCGCCUCAUUGAUAAACUAAGUAGAUUUCCUUUUUAUAUUAAAAAAAAGGUAAAAUGGCAGAUUGAUUAUCUCAUGUCUCUUGACAGAGAAAAUUGUGCUUACACGACCAUUUGCAUUUGCUAGAAUUCCUAUUGCACCUGUACUGAUGUUUAAGAGUGGAGUUUAUUUAUAUUGUUUUUAUAAUUGUUAUCAUAUAUGUGUCUGUCUGUAUCUGAUUAUAUAUGCCUAGAACUAUAUCCAUCAACCUGUGCUAAUGUUGAACUAGUAAUGAGAUUCUAGGGAUUUAUUCACGUUCAUUGGAUAUAUUUAUCACUUAACUUACUUUAAUUAGAAUCGACAAUCGUUCCAAAAAGAGUAACGAUUUCAACUUUUUCUUUUUUUUUUCCCGAUAGAAACCAUCAUUUUAUUCAUAUGAUCCGCACUAAUGGUGGAAAAAGUAAUGGUUUCAACUUUUUAAAUAUUCCUUUUGUUCACAGUUUAUUCUUCUGUAGAUAAUGUUUUUUUUUUUUGCUUUUCUAAAAUUGUGAAGUUUCGAUACAUAUGGUGCAGUCACUUGAAACAACGACUAAAGUAUAUUAUAUAUGUUUAUGUUACUAUUUUCUUGUUACACAUACGUAGAUAUCUAUCUACAUAUAUUUAGUACUCUUACUUUUUGAGUGUAUUAAAAUUUGAAAAAGUUUUGGCAACUUUGUAGGAGUGAAUUCUCAUUAGAUGAUGGUAAUUGAAGCAUUUUGAAGAAUUAAUCACAAAAAGCUCCCCUCUUAAAUUUUGCGAAUAUAAUCAUCGAUUGAAUUUAAAUGAGACAAAAACUUAAAAAUUUAAGAUGCAAAGUGUUUAAAAUUAAGAAUUUAUGGUGUAAAAUACCUAAAAUUAAAGUUUAAAAUACAAAGUAAAAAAGUGAUAUAAGUUUAGAAAUGCAAAGUGGAAUCAGUCAGCCCUUAUAUUUUCUUUCUCACUUUGCUUCCUUUGUUAAUAAAACUCAUCAAUACGACCAAAAUGCCCUUGUCACUUAAACCGCUAAAUUUGAGAAAAGUACCUAAAUUUGACAAAAGUACCUAUAGGCACAGUAUAUUAAAAAACGAACUUAGAAGCUUUCACAGUCAAACCCAACGUGUUUCUCCCUUAUUUUUUUCUAAGUAUACAAAAACUCUAUAUACACAUGCACAUACGUACGUGCAUACAUACAUAUAUAUAAAGUGGAUGCUCUAACUACUAAAAGAAAUACAAGAGCACCCAUAUGCACAUUUUUUGGUUCCAAAUUCUUGGAAAGUGAGGCUGACCGUUUCUAGGCUUUUAUAGAUUUUUUUUUUAAUCUAUUUUCAAAUUUUAAUUUUUUAGAUUAUGGUUUUCUAGAUUUUUUUUCCCUUUUCACAUGAAAUAAGCAACACGUUGCCUUCAUCUUGGAAAAGUGUAAUCUUGGGACAAAAUUUAACUAAAUCCAAAUCCAUGAGUAUAUUAUUCUAUUCAUAGUAUAAUGUAAUAGAAAAUUCUUCGGACAUUAUUUGUCAUGAACGUUAUAAAAUAUUAGAGUUCAAUAAUGUUCUUGCAGUUAAAAAUAGAAAAAAAAAAAAAAGAUGACUUUAAGGGGUAAGUACAAAAAACACACUACACCUGGAUCAACUAAAUUAUCCUAAGUAAAAAUAUUAUUCAAAGGUGGCCAUUAUGUAAAGUUAGAAUUGACUAAUGAUCUUGGGUCUCACAAAGUUAGAAACAAACAAUUAUGUUAGAGAAUAAAGUGAGAAUCAUGUUAUACCUUGGAGGGAUUUCUUCUCUUUUCUUUUUAUUGUAAUUUGCCCCUCAUUGAAUUGAUUUUUUUCUUCUUUUAAUCUGAAUUUCUCAUUUUUUUUCUUUUUUUACUUGUAGUCUCAUCUUGUUGUAUAUUUGUUUUCUUUUGCAAUUGUGUAGUAUGCAAUUGCAUAUGUUCAAGGUGACAAGUAUCAUGGAGCAAAGGCAACAAUAAACGUUUGGCAACCCUACGUUCAGAACAGAAUUGAAUUUAGCUUAUCCCAGAUUUGGGUUGUUGGAGGUGGUGGUUCGAGUACCAACACCAUUGAAGCUGGUUGGACGGUAUUGCUUCUCUAUAAUAUCAGUAACGUAGUAUUCAUCUUGUUUGUGAGUUGUAAAUAUGUAGUUAUUUAUCUCAUACUAUAUGGUUUGCUUACUUCAAUUGUUAAAAUAACAGGUAGACGCUGAUAUAUUUGUAGACAACAAGCCAAGACUUUUCACUUAUUGGACUGUAAGUGAAACACUAUUUUCCACUUAGUAUGUUUGGGCAAUCAAUUUUUUUCAAUGCACACAACUUCUGCUUACAUAAGUUUGAAUAUAGGGUUAAUUACAUUUACCUCCCCUGAGGUUUGACCAUAUUACCAAUCAAUCCCUGUAAUUUGUCCAAAUAACGGUCUCACCCUUUGAAUGAUCAAACAUUUAACAAAAACCCCCUUAAUGCUGAAAAUGCCCUUAUUGAGGCCAUGUUGCAUUAAAAAAAGAAUAUAUUUUUAUUUUAUUAACUCUGAAGUAAUCCAAAAAAAUAGAAAAAAAGUUUUUGCUUAUUAUUUUAUAAAAACCAUAUCUUUACUUCCAUAACUAGUUUUGAAUCAAUAAUUAUUUUAAAUCUUAAAAAUGAAUAUUAAAAAUUAGAUAAAUUGAAAGAAAAAUAAAAAAGAAGCAAUUAUUUUAAAUUCUCAAGUAUGGUUCGAAUUUGUGGUUCAAGGCAUGUUGCGGAGAGCACAAGACAUGUUUUCCUCAAUUUGAACCAUACUCCAGGAAUUAAAAUAAUUUCUUCUUUUUAAUUUUUCUUUCAAUUUAUCUAAUUUUUAAUAUUCAUUUUUAAGAUUUAAAAUAAUUAUUGAUUCAAAACUAUUUAUGGAAGCAAAGAUAUGGUUUUUAUAAAAUAAUAAGCAAAAACUUUUUUCUAUUUUUUUGGAUUGCUUCAGGGUUAAUAAAAUAAAAAUAUGUUCUUUUUUUAAUGCAACAUGGCCUCAAUAAGGGCAUUUUCGGCAUUAAGGGGGUUUUUGUUAAAUGUUUGAUCAUUCAAAGGGUGAGACCGUUAUUUGGACAAAUUACAGGGAUUGAUUGGUAAUAUGGUCAAAUCUUAGGGGAGGUAAAUGUAAUUAACCCUUGAAUAUAUAAGGGGAGGGAUGGGUCGGGUGGUUCAGGAGAAGGGAGUAUAAAUGAGAAAUCUCAAAUUCAGGUCCUUUCACUUAUACUUAAAAAAAAUUUUAAUUCUAUAUUGGUAUCACAGAUAUGUACUAAAAUCUGGUUGCUGUAACAGAGACAUCAUUAUGGAUCCACUGGAUGCUACAACGUGGGCUGCCCUGGCUUUGUUCAAACCAGCAAAAAAAUGGCCUUGGGGGCCAACAUUUCCCCUGUUUCAACCUACCCUGGUCCUCAAUUCGAUAUCAGCCUCUAUAUAGUGAAGGUAACAAAUGAAAACCAGAUUCCGACCUGGAUUUUUGGUUAAAAGUAUUCAUCAUCUCACAAUGAGACUUUCUGCUCUUGUCAUCUUCGUUCUCCCUUUUUUUUUUCUUGCAUUUUCUUCGCCAGUUACUUGCUAAAACAAAUCAUUUAAAAAAUUUGUAGGACAAUUGUAGUUUCUUGCAUGGAGAUGCAGCUGAGCUGAGACGUAGUAGGUCUGGACUUUAUUGUAGUUAAUGAAUUCUCAUUAUACUAUUUGAUAUUACUUUGCUAUGUAAAAUUGUAAAUAUACUAAUUGUUGUCCUCGUUCACACAAUUAAAAUAGCACGAGAUCCUCUUCAUUACUUUUCUCUCCAUUUAUCUAUACAACUAAAUUAUUUUUUUUUAAAAAAAUCUUUUUGUGUCAAUAAUUUUAUUUCCACAAGUAGAUCAACAUACUCAAAAAUCAAACUCAUCUAUGAACCUUAAUCGACUUGCUAUUUGCAGAGGUCCCAUCCUGGGCCUAGACAUGUGGCAGCUCAGGAGGGUCAGAGUUGGGCCUGGACCCCCGGGCCCCUGACAACCGUCCUGGGGCACACCGUCACUAGGGUUUCGAAGGGCUCCGGGAAACAAUCCCGCAGAGGGUGGGGAGAAUCCCCCUCAGCGAGGGAUUGAAGCUAUAUUGGGUAAGUCCCGAAACGUAUAGAGGUCGGACUCUCGAGCAAGUAUAAAUGAUAACGCACACCAGUUACACAAGAUACGCUCACUAUUGGCAAAACACCCCGACUGUUUUAUUUCCCGUGAAUCUCACUCACCGGAAAACUAACUUGACCGUCGGAGUGCCCACGGGGACCACCUCGGGGCCCCCCUGUUAGACCACUCUCUUGUUCGCUUUGCAGGCUUGGGACACGCUCUUCUCAUCAGCACGCCGAGCUCGUCAGAUCAGCUCGGUGGUCGGGAAAGCUCAGCGCUUCUUCAGUUGGCGCUGUCUGGGAACCAAAAGGUAAAGUGUAGUCGUGUUGAUGGCGAGAACGCGUUCCAAGCGAACCAUGGAGACCACCGAUUCUGGAGCAAGCGAGGGAUCCCGGCGAAGGGAGACCCGAGGCUACACGGGACGCCGGGAUCUCAGCCCUUUCAGGGAAACGGAGACAGCAGAUCCUUCAGUUCGUAUCGGAGAACUUCCCCAUGCUGGAAGACAUGAUCCGACAAGCGAAGGAGGGAGGUGAAGCCGGAGGCGCGCAGAUCUCCAAGGCGCAGGGGAAGGAGAAAGAAUCACCCCGACCCCUCGGAAGAUGAGUCCCGAGACCAGCCUCUCAGGAGGAAACGGCUACGGACUCUCCCUCGCGCACGGGCCUCGAUGGUCGGGGAUAGCGAGAGGUACUCCCGCGACCGGUCCGCUGGGGCCGACCGAGAAACCCCUCCCCGCGGAAGCCUGGGUGGAACGAGCCUGAGCGCUCCCUCGACCGAUCCGUCAAAAGCCGGCCGCGCAACCUUCCCCAGUGGAAGCCUGUUAGAGACGAACUCGAGCAGAUCUUGCGGCCGCAGUUGUACGAGGACAACUAUACCACCUCGCCCUUUACCCGAGAGAUAGAGGACUACCCACUACCCCGGAUGUUCAAAAUCCCGAACAUUGAGUUGAAUGACGCUUCAAUCGACCCGGAAGACCACCUCUCGGUCUUCUUGACGCACAUGCGUCUGCAAACAGCCGCGGAUGAAAUCUGCUACAAAACCUUCCCCAUGUUUCUGAAGGGAAAUGCUCGGCUCUGGUUCCAGGAUCUGGCACUAGGGUCUAUCCGAAGUUUUCCCGAACUGGCUAAGCAGUUCGUCGCCCAAUUCGUCUCUUCGAAAACUUAUUCGAAGAACGUGACCCACCUGAUGGCGAUCAGGCAGAAGUCGGACGAGUCACUGAGGAAUUUCAUGACCCGCUUCAACACGGAGAGCCUGCAGAUCAGGGACAAGAACGAAAAGAUGGUCAUGGCCGCCUUCAUGAACGGGUUCAGGGCAGAGGAACUCUUCUACAAGCUAGCCGAGAAGCCUCCCGGAGACCUGGAGGAGUUCUUGACCAGGGCGCACGCGGCCGCUAAUGUAGAGGAGGCGGCCCGCCUGAAGAGAGAAUCAGAUCGGGAGCUCGGAGAUCGGAGAGAACAGGGAAACCCCCCGAGAACAAGGAUGGACCGGCCAAGAAGAACGUCUUUGACCGGCUUUCGAAGGAGAAAGCCCCGUUCCGCCACUGCUUCCGGAGAAAGGCUACACCCCCUGACUCGGCCCCGAGCCCAGAUCCUAGCCGUCAUGGAGGCGGAGGGCCUGGGAGAACGGCCGCCUAAGAUGGGGACGCCUCGCAAAAAACGGAACCAGAACCGGUACUGUGCCUUUCACCGUGACGUCGGGCACGACACAGAGGGGUGUUGGGCCCUGCGGAGAGAGAUCGAGGAUCUGAUCCAGCGCGGCUUCUAGGGACGAUUCGUGCGGCAAGGUCGUCCAAGCCAGGAGCCCGGACGCACCUACCGCGGAGACAGGGGCGAGGGCCAGUGUCGCAACCGCCCUGAGCGGCGCGACGUUCCUCUGGGAAGCUCCCCCGACCAGGACAUCCAGAACUUAGCGGGGGUGAUAAACACCAUCGCUGGGGGCCCCACAGGGGGGGACAACCAUGCAGUUCGGAAGAACAGGCGACCUCCCCCCGAGGGGGAUGAUUCACUGAAGCGCUUGCGCAUGGACGAGGAGAUCACCUUCGGGCCAAGGGAUGCAGUUCCCCUAGCGUCGGGGAACCACGAGGUCAUCGUGAUAGACGUCGUCACCAAUAACUAUCGAGUGAAAAAGGUGUACGUCGACCAAGGGAGCGCGUGGACAUCCUGUUUUACCGGGUGUUCAAAGAGAUCGGUCUGGAGGACGGACAGUUGACCCCGGUUCGGACACCCCUGGUGGGUUUCACCGGACCACCUAUCAAUCCGGAGGGAAUGAUCACCCUGAUGGUCACGGUAGGGCAGGCUCCCAAAUGCCGAACCAUCCCUGUCAAUUUCGUGGUGGUCAAGCAACAAUCCCCAUACAACGUGUUCUUGGGUCGGCCCGCCUUGAACGCCCUCUGAGCUAUCCCUUCUUUUCUCCACCUCAGCGUCAAAUUCCCCACACCGGAAGGAAUCGCCGAGGUGCAUGGAGAUCCGAAAGUGGCCAGAGCUUGCUACCUAGCCAUGCUUCGGGGACAGGAGAAGGUGGUCGCCCAAACGACCAGCUUGGAGCCCUACAUUCCGGGGGAGGAGGUCCAGCAGUUGAGAACCCAGGACGAGAUCGAGGAGUUCCCCCUGAGAGAAGAUAGGCCUGACCGGGUCCUCCGCAUUGGCGCGUCGCUAUUCUCCGAAGAAAAGGAGGGUUUGAAGACCCUGUUAAGGGAAUACUCCCAGAUCUUCACAUGGACGGUUGAAAACAUGCCCGGGAUUCCGACUGACCUGGCCGUCCACCACUUCAACGUGGAUUCUCGCUUCAAGCCGGUGAAAUAGAAGAAGAGGAGUUUCGUCCUAGAAAAGAAUGAGGUGAUCAGGAGGGAGGUCGGCAAGCUGCUGGAAUCCAAAAUCAUUCUAGAAGUGUAUUACCCGACCUAGUUAGUUAAUCCCGUCUUGGUCAAGAAGGAGGAGCAGUCCUGGAGGAUGUGCGUGGACUUUACAGAUCUCAAUAAGCCCUGCCCGAAGGAUUGCUUCCCCUUGCCGAGGAUCGACAGGUUAGUAGACGCUUCUGUGGGUUUUGACGUUUUGUGUUUCUUGAAUACUUUCAAGGGAUACCACCAGAUAGAGAUGGCCGAAGAAGACCGGGAGAAGACCUCCUUCAUCACUGAGGAAGGAACUUACUGCUACCGGAACAUGCCGUUUGGGUUGAAAAAUGCUGGAGCUACAUACCAGCGCCUGGUCAACAAACUGUUCCAAAAUCAGAUCAGCCGGAGCAUGGAGAUCUACGUGGACGACAUGAUCGUCAAAAGCCGGACUGACCAGCAGCUCAUCCCGACCUGAGGGAGACCUUGGAUAUCCUAUGGGAGAGCCGCAUGCGACUGAACCCGAAGAAAUGUACCUUCGGAGUUAGGUCAGGCCGGUUCCUAGGAUUUUUGGUGUCCCGAGAGGGGAUCCGGGUCAACCCGGAUAAGCUCCAGGCCAUCAUGGACAUGGCCCCUCCAAGGAGCAUAAAAGAGGUCCAGGGCUCACGGGAAGGAUGGCCGCCCUGAAUAGAUUCCUCUCGCGCUCCGCGGUAAGGGGGUUACCCUUCUUUCGAAUCCUGAAAGCACCCAAGGACUUUCAAGGGACCGAGGAAUGCUAGAAAUCCGUCGCUGACCUGAAAGCAUAUCUGGCCAAGCUACCCACCUUGACCGCUCCGGAGUAGGGGGAAAUCCUGUUCCUAUACUUGUCCGCCUGCAGCGAGGUCAUUAGCGCGGUUCUGGUGCUGGAAGAUAUGGGGGCUCAGAAGCCAAUAUACUAUGUCAGCCGAGCUUUACAGGAGCUGGAGACGCGGUACACGCCGACAAAAAAAUUGGUUCUCGUCCUGGUACACGCCGCCCAGAAGCUCCGACCUUACUUCCAGGCACACAGCAUUGUUGUCAGGACCGAUCAACCCUUACGACAGAUACUCACAAGACCUGAGGUCUCAGGCAAGACGACCAAGUGAGCCGUUGAGCUGGUCGAGCACGACAUCGGCUACCAGCCUCGUAUUGCUAUCAACGCUCAGGCCUUGGCAGACUUUCUUGCUGAAGGAGCGAGUUUGUCCAUGGCUGAGUUGAGCUCAUUGCCCAAGCGCGUACGGCCGGAAGAGCCGUGGGUGUUAUUCGUGGACGGGGCCUCGAGUAAGGAGGGAAGCGGAGCCGGCCUGCUGCUCACCUCGCCCAUCGGGGAAGAGCUGACCUACGCGCUCAAAUUCGACUUCCCGGCAUCCAACAAUGAGGCCGAGUACGAAACCCUAUUGACGGGACUGCGGAUAACCCACCAGAUGGGUAUAACCGCGAUCAAAGUCCGGAGCGACUCGCAACUCGUAGUCCACCAAGUCCGCGGGGAGUAUGAGGCCAAGGAGGACAUCAUGAAUAAAUACUUGGCUAAGGUACGGGAGGCGAUAGCCCUGUUCGAUAUUUUUGAGAUCGAGCGGGUGCCGAGAUCAUAGAAUAAGUGCGCUGACGCCCUGUCGAAGCUGGCGUCCUCCUCGUUCGCUCACCUGAGCAAGGAAGUGUUGGUGGAGGUAGUCAAGCAUAAGAGCAUUGACCAGAGUCAGGUCUUGGCUAUAGACAGCCCGGCCUCCUGGAUGACUCCCCUUGCGGACUUCCUCAGCUUGGGUGUCCUCCCCGAAAACAAAAUCGAGGCUCGCCGACUCCAGCUCAGAGUUGCCAAGUACGCCUACUCUCGGGGGACCCUCUAUAGAAGGUCGUAUUUGUCUCCCUGGUUAAAGUGCGUAACCCCUGAGGAAGGCGACUAUGUCCUCCGCGAAAUUCAUGAAGGCUUAUGCGCGGCACAUGUGGAAUCCCGAGUUUUGGCCAAAAAAUGCCUACUCAUGGGCUACUAUUGGCCCUCCGUGUUCCAAGAUGCCGCGGCGCUAGUCCAGCAAUGCCGAGCUUACCAAGUGCACGCCUCGCUGCGUCACCAGCCAACACAAGAGAUGGUCCGCAUCCAUAGUCCUUGGCCCUUCGCCCAGUGGGGAAUAGAUCUCUUGGGGCCUUUUUCCCGAGUUCCCGGGAAAUACGAGCACCUCGUGGUGGCCAUCGAUUACUUCACAAAAUGGAUAGAAGCGGAGCCUUUAGCCACUAUCUCGGGAAGAGCAGUCCAGAAGUUCUUUUGGAAGAACAUAGUCUGCCAUUUUGGGAUUCCGCAUGUCUUGAUAUCUGACAAUGGACGACAGUUUGCUGAAACCCCUUCAGGAGCUGGUGCGCCAAGCUCGGGAUCAGCAAGCACUUCACGUCGAUCAGUCAUCCCCAGGCCAACGGUCAGGUAGAGAAUGUUAACCGAACCAUUCUCCAAGGGUUGAAGACUAGGUUGGAACUAGUCCAGUCUAACUGGUUAGAUGAACUCCCUAUUGUCCUCUGGCCUACCGCACCACUCCGAGGACUGCCACUCAGGAGACCCCGUUUUCCCUGACUUAUGGGGCAAAAGCGGUGGUGCCGGCGGAGAUCGGCCUCCCCUCGCUUCGGACACAUAACUUCGUUGCGUCAACCAAAGAAGAAGAGUUGAGGUGUAACUUGGACAUAUUGGAGGCUAAGCGUGAGGAAGCGGCGAUACGGAUGGCUAAGUACAAAAGCCAACUCGCCCGCUAUCAUAACGCAAAAGUGAGAAACACGCAGUACCAGCCAGCAGACCUCGUCUUAAGAAAGAACUCCGUCAACCGAGCCCAUAGUUCCAAUAAGCUCGACCCAAAUUGGGAGGGGCCGUACAAGGACCUGGAGGCGAGCCGAGCUGGGUACUGCAGGCUUGCGAAGCUAGAUGGAGCGGAAGUACCUCGCACUUGGCACUUCUCGAAUCUACGGUUGUUCGUAGGUUAGAUUGGGUUAGGGUAUCUUACUGUCUAUUCUUCAGAAUUCGCAUACAAGUUCGUCAUUAAAUAAACGCUUGACUUUGAACCUUCCUUUUAUCAACAUCAUUUAACUUUUAAGUUUAGAUCCUACACUAGCACACUCAGACAAUGCUAAGUGUCCUAGUGGGGGGCCCGAUGUCUUUAAAGUUUGAGAGUUGAUGCUCGACCCAGGAGGUCGGCAUGGCUUAAAGGAGUGUCUUUAAAGUUUGAGAAUUGAUGCUCGACCCAGGAGGUCGGCAUGGCUUAAAGAAGUGUCUUUAAAGUUUGAAAAUCGAUGCUCGACCCAAGAGGUCGGCAUGGCUUAAAGAAGUGUCUUUAAAGUUUGAAAAUCGAUGCUCGACCCAGGAGGUCGGCAUGGCUUAAAGCUUUGAAGUCCGAAAGUUCACACCGUGAAUUAGUUUGAUGCAGUUUGUUAAAACCUGAGGGCCUGACGCUCGACCCAGGAGGUCGGCAUGGCUGCCUUUACAAUUUGAUGCUCGGCCCAGGAGGUCAGCACGUCGCCUUGGCGAAUUGGUUUGAUAGUUCGCUAGUCCCCUGGUCUGCUGCCUUCGACAAUUUAGUGGCUAGCUUAAAGUCUGAUAAAUGCUCGACCCGGGAGGUCGGCAUAUGGAUUUGAUUGCUAGAGUUUAGCGCAGGCGAGAAUUGCAACUCGAGAUUAAAUAAUUUCAUUCAAAUUUCGUAUAUACAACCUAUCUAUCACAGAACCUACUGGGAUAUAUAAAAGGAAAAAAAGAGAUGUACAGCUCAACCCCCGAGAGACCCCUCAGCCGCCUAGGCCACCGGCUCCUUCCCGGGAGCUCUGCCGGGAGUUUCGCCCUCCUCCAAGGGAACCUCCGCCAGGUCGGCUCCUACGUCGCUCCUGCCCACCAAGUCCUUCAGGGAAUGCCCCUUGCAAUACACAUCGAAGAGCCAGUCCAGCUUCUCCUCGGUCGCGGGAUUGUAGUCCUUGAAGUCAGCCAAGUUGAAGCCAAGCAGGUUAAGGCCCUUCAUCUGGUCAAGGGCUUGCGUGAAGCCAACCUGGAGGAUGGGUUGGUUGAGGAGGUCAACGUCUUCGGCAAGCUGUUCGGGAGUUACUGUUCGAAAGAGAUGAACUCCCGAACAGCCUUCUUGCACUCCCCGCUGACGGUGCCGGAGAGUUCAAUAGCAUGGUCCUCCCUCAACUUCGCCAUGCCCUUCUUCUCCUAGUCCAGCUCGGACCAGGCGGAUGUGAGCUAUACUUGGGCCGCUUCCAACUCUUUCUCGGCCUUGCCCAUCUUGGCCUUAAGGGAGUCUGCGUCCUUAAGGGUCUGGGCAAGCCUCUGCUCUGUUUUCCGGUUCAUCUUCUGUAACUUCUCCAGGUCGGGAGACAGCUCGGAGAAGCGGGUCGCGAGGGCGGCUCCAGCGGCAUUGGUCUGAGGGGAAGAAAAAAGAAGUUAGCACGCUACGCGAUUUAGCCGAAGAACGGAGGCACAACUGGCCUAAGGGGUAGGGACUUACUCUGGACAGUGAAGUACACGUCCUGGAGCUCGGACGAGCUCGCCAGCUCCAUCCACCUCCUGUCGCGCUGGAGGACCGAGCCCGUGACCAGCUCGCGAGCCACAUAGGGGGGGCUCGGUCGUUGAUGGAUAGCCCCCAGGAUGGACAGAAGCGACGGGGGUCAUGCAUGGAGGGGCCUGGGCCGGCUUCACAGGGGCGACGUGGCGGAAGUGCCACGGAUUGGGGGGCGGCAUCUCCCGCGCGUUCUCCUCUGCGGAGCCGACCCCCAAGUGGACCGGACCCGCAUGAGGGGCGCCCCCGACGUCAGCAAGAGAGGGGCUGUGCUGGAAAGGACGCGGGCCUCUUCUCGAGCUGGGGGGCUUCAUCCCCUCGACCCCUCUUUUGCCCAGCCGCUUUCUUCUUACUGGCGACCUGCUUGGAGGAGGAGUGAAAUGCCUCCUUCUGGGGGCCCGAGCUGCCCCCAGGAGUCGAGGAGGCCUUCUUGGCGGCCUCCUGCUGCGGAGUCGGGGCGUUCGGCUCGGAAGGCGUGCCCAGCAGCUUUGAGAGCCUCCUCACUGCAGCAAACACCACAAGGUCAGUAAAUGUAGGUCAGUAAGAAAGAAGGAAGCAAUAGACUACAGGAGCCUAGAGGCGGCAUUACAAGUAUCGUAGUCGGUGGGGGAGGGCUCCAUUCUCCAGGGGACCCGGACAACGUCCCCAUCAGCCCGGCCACAGAAAUCUGCCUCGGUGGAGAACCUGGCAGCAUAGAGCUUCACCUUGGAGCUUACCAGUUGGCCGAGGGUUUCGGAGUCCAGAUCCUCCGGAUAGGGGUCGGAGUCGACCUCCCCGACCUUCCACACAUUAGGGGGAAAGCUCGUGGACUUAACAAAGAAGAAGUCCCCUUUCCAGUUCUUUAUGGAAGAGGGGACCCCGAAGAGCAAAUCCUAGGUGCCCUUUCCUCCCCGACCUUUGCUAGUGGUUUGGCGGGAGAAGUAGUACCACUCGGAAGGGAGAGCUUGAGGUGUAGGAGGCUCGGAAGAGAGAAAGAGAAUAGGGGAUGUAGCGGAUUUGGCAGUAGAUCAGAAACCCAACGAUGAUCCUGAUCGAAUUGGGUGGAUCUGGGUGAUCCUGAGCCCCCAGUAGCUCAGGAUCUCGGCCAGGGCUGGAGGAAUUGGGAGACGGAGCCCUGCGACCAACUGCUCCCUAUAGAUGACUACGAAGCUUGGGGGAGAUCGGCUAGCUCGGUCGCUGGGUCCGGCAGACCUCGGUUCGAAAGCGGGAGGAAUGGAAAAGGACCCGGCCAGCUCGGCUACCUCCUCAGGUGAGAGGGUGACCUCUUGCUGAUCAGGUUGACCAUAGUCGAACUCAGGGUCAUCCCCUACUCGGAGGCAGGAGUUCCCCUGGAGAAGUCCCUGUCCUCACUUGCCCCCCCUGAGCUCCGCCAGGGGAGUCAUGUGGAGACUUGGGAGAGGGAACGGAAGUGGCCUGCUGCUCAAUGAAGGCAUCGAGCUCGGCCGCCUCCUCCAGGAUUCGGGCAGAAGGAGAGUGGGCAGAUGGAGAGCUCACGACGACUAUGGGCUCAAGCAAGUCAGGAAUGGGGAAGCUAGAAUUAGAAGCAGAAGAGGAAGAAUGGGGAGGAGGGGGAGAUGAAGACGAAGAUGAAGAGAAAAUAAGGAUCCUAAGGGCUCUGCGAUGGGCAGGAAUCCGAGAGGCGGUGGAAGUAACGCCGGACCGAUCCGACAUAAAAAACAGAAGAUGGCAGAGGGAAAAAGGAGAGCAAGGAAGAAGGGAAAAGAACUUACUGAUGAACGAAAUGGGAAAAAUGAAGCAACCGCCGGAAUAUGGACACGGAGAGUCGGAAGUCUUGCCGUUGGAAUUUUAGAGAAUGAGGAAAUGCACGAAGAGAAGAAAAUGGCAAAGGGAGUCGGAGGAAAUCUGGAAGCCCCUAUUUAUAGGGAAGGGAAUGGGGGGAAAACGGUUGCUUGAAUUUGAACCGUCCCAUGUGAAUGCAUUUAAGAGCGUUACGAAGACUGAAGAGACGCAACAACUGAAAGGAUGCGGGCGCAGCUUUUCAGUGACAGCAGUGUACCGGAGGUGACCAUGGCAGAGCGGUGCUGCGCUGGGCUCCCACGUGGCAGGAGUGUAGAUUAGGUCUGCCAUGAGACCCUACCUAAUCUAGGGGGCUAGUGCAGGGGCCCCGUUCUGGAUCUAGAGACGUGGCAGCCCAGGAGGGUCAGAGUUGGGCCUGGACCCCCGGGCCCCUGACAACCAUCCUGGGGCACACCGCCACUAGGGCUCCGAAAGGCUCCGGGAAACAAUCCCGCAGAGGGCGGGGAGAAUCCCCUUCAGCGCGGGAUUGAAGCUAAUAUUGGUAAGUGACGGGUUUUUUACAUACGUGCAAGCUAAAAAAUACCGAAUUACACCGUUCACUGCAAGUAUACAGAUCAACUAUAGUUUAGGGUAUAUAUCGGGUCGAUCCACAAGGAAGAGUGAACAAUUACCGGUACUACUAAAACUUCUCUAUUAUUUAGACUAUCAAUGAAUUAUAACAAAUUUUACCUACUCAUUAUACAAAAUAACAAAUAAAAGCUCCUUAGGUUGUGGUAUCCCUAACUACUCAUGCAAGUGUUAUAUUUGGAUCAUUUAGUACUACAUCUAGGCUAGUUAUGGUGUAAUUUCCUUAUGCAUUUGAAUCCUACUUUCGUAGUGAAUCGAUUAUACUAAUAACCAAUCCAUACCUAUUCUCAUGGUUAUGAAAUUAGUUACAAGUUCAUUUCUUCAAUGAAAUUACAUGAAAUUAAUCACCAAAACCCAUAGGUGCACCUCUACUCUCGUGAGUGUACUCCCCAUGUUUAACACUUAUUGAACUAAUGUUAAAUCUCAAUUUCAUUGCAGAAAUAACACCUUAGAUAAUCACAAUUAAUGGUACCAGAUUAAUCAUGAUUUAAAGAGCUAAAGUGCUAAAUAACUUGCUCAAAUCAUAGCAGUUAAAUAGCCAAAUGAUAAACACUAACAAUCAUAGAAAGUUCAACCAAACCCAAGGUAUAAACUUUAAAAGACACAUAUCAAAUAUAAAAUCCAAAACUUGCAUAUUAACUAAAUUUGGAAUCAAGUACAAAAAAAAGAGUUGGAAAGGAAUGUAACCCAUGUCACUUGAGCUCAUCACCUUGCCUUCUUCAUCUCCAUCUUAAUCCUAGUCUAGCAAUAUACAAGAAUGGAUGAACUACACUAGCUAAACUAUACUACACUAAUCUGAUACUAACAGAAUGGAAAAACUACAUUUCUGCACUUCCCCCCUGUUCCCCGUAUGUCUCAAUGUCCUGCAUAUAAGCUGAUGAAAAGUCCUUUCCUUACCAGUCAAAAAUUUCUGCUAUGAUUCUCCAAUCUCAUUUUGUUAAGAUAGUCAAAAACCAUUGUUUUUGACUUGAAAAUAAGCCACCUUGUCUGCCCUUUUGUCUUCUGAGGCAUGUGCACCGAAUUCUCUUGCAGAUUGUAGCUGAAAGUAGUUUGAACAUAAGAGAAUUGACUGAGCAAAUUGCAGAAUUACGGCCAGAAAACGCGCCUACACAAAACGCGGUUACAAGUCACGUUUUGUGUACUCGCGUAUUCACUUUGGCCUUACUUCAUCUGCGAUUUUCUCUAUCAUAAAGGCCGAACUGGCUUUUGUGCAAAACACCAAAGUUGUAGCCCUUUGAGUUAGCUUUCCAAUGCUAUAAAAAUCAUCCAAAUCGGAGUUGUGCAGCCUGAGAUAUGGUCGAAAUACUCUCACCUGGUCAAACCUCUGUUUCCAGUUUCGACCACAGAGUGCAGCUUCUGUAUUCCGACUUUUUGUCCAUGAAAUGGGCAGAAUUGGAUUUCGAUGUCUUCAUACGAAUUGUAGGUCUCUUUCUUAGCUUUAAAAUGGUAUAAAGAUCACCUUAAUCUGAUAAGUGUAGCUCCAGAUAUGAUCAAAAUACUGAAGAGUGUUAAAAACUGAUUUGUAUUGCAUUUCCUCACUUGAACGUUUUUCACUUCAUUCUUCUUGUUACCACUUGAAUUCAUCACCAACUUUCUAUUUUUCAUCUCAUUUGACAUCCUUUGGUGAUUGAAUCAUCAUUCCUGCAUAAAAAUGAAGUUUUUAUCAUUAAAAUCACUAAAAAUGCAAUAUUAUCCACUUUUACCAACAAUAUAUAAUUUUACCAAAAACCUCUUUAUUUAUUUAUAAAACUAGAUAAUCAACUCAAAAUUAACUAAUAAAAUGCACUUAAAAAUACGUAAAAUAAACUCUUAUCAAAUACCCCCACACUUGAACCAUUGCUUGUCCUCAAGCAAUAAGAAAUACAAAACCAACAAUGAUUCAAAAUUUGAAAAUAAACAUAUGUAGCAUUUCAACUUCAUUUCCUUAAAACAAAGUAAAUAACUAUUAUGCAAUUAUUCAAUUAAAUUCAAGUACUCAUAAUAUCAAGUAAAGGAGAGCCAAUUAUACCGUCAUUAUAACAAAUUCAAAUCAAUUUUUCAUCUUUACCCAAUCUUACAAGUAAGUAACUCAUAUGGUCAAUAAUAUGCUUCCUAAACUCAUGAUCUUUUUUUAUUUAACUUAAAGAGGGAUUUAUUUAUAUAACAUAGCUAAAUAUUACUUAAGUUGUGAAAGUAUCUUUUUACGCGAGAAUCAACAUUUUUAGAUGAAGAUCACCGGUUACUCAACACUUCACAUACUCAAGUUGCUUUGCAUACUCUUAAUUCAAGUACCGUUUUACGCGAAAGUCGACAUUUUUAGAUGAAGACUCUCGGUUACUAAGUACGAGAAUCAUUGGAGUAGAAUAAAUCUUAUUAUUUUUUUUUUCUUUCCACUUUUUUUUUUCUUUUUACAGCAAAGAUAAUAAUAAAUUCCUCAAAAGAAUAAUCAUGAGAAGAGUAUUGCACUUGUUGACCAUAUUUAUCACUUAACUUAUAAAAUCCAAUAAAGAGAAGAAAUUUCAUCAAAUAUGCAAAAAAAAAUAGGCAUAAUUUUCUCCACUUUAAAAGAUAUACUUUCCUACAAAUGCAAAAAUUAUAAUCACAUAAUAGUCAUUUCCAAGUUAAAUGAGAAAAGAAGUUUCCAAAUCACAUAUAUUUAUCUCAAAUGUGGAAGAAAUUUGAACUACUAAUGGUAUGAAACUUGUUACCCCUUUGGAUAAAAUCGAAAAAAUUGAAACUUUUUGGGGCAAGUUUGCAAUUUUGGACAAGAUUGUAGAAAAAUUUGAAUUUUAACACAAGUCCAAUAUUUGCAACUAAUAGGUUAAUCACAUACAAUGUAUAUAAUCUCAAUUCUCCCCCCACACUUAACAUGCACAUUGUCCUCAAUGUGUAAAAAGGAAAAUGAAGAUAAAGAAAAAUAAUACUCCCCUAUUGUUGUGAUUGAAUAUGAAGCUUCAAGGUAUGUUGUUCGCCGGUCUUCAUCACUUCAUGAGUUCCAUUGGAUAACCAUUAGUGAUAUAAACCUAAAAAUGGAAAAUGAGAAACCAAAGUGAUAACAAAGGCUUAAGACAUCAAAACGGCUAUCCGUAACUAACUUCAAGCCCUUGUUUUGGUGAUGUACCUAUAAAAAAAAUACACAAUAAGCAACUCAAGGUACAAGAAAAUAUAUGAGAAAAAGAAGAAAAAGAAAGAAUGAAUCAGGUCUAGCAUUCGGACAAUAAGGGAAAACGUAACUUGACAAAACGUGUCUUCGAGCCACGUUUUGUGUGAGGCACGUUUCUUUCUUCUGGGCAUAACUGAAAACGUGGCUGUGAAAACGUGGCUUGCUGAAGCGUUUUCAAAACGUGGCGUUUUCAAAACGUGGCUUGAUGGAGCGUUUUAUGCCACGUUUUCUAUGUAAAACUUACGGAAUCGAAAACGUGGCUGGUGAAAACGUGGCUUGGUGGAGCGUUUUCAAAACGUGGCGUUUUCAAAACGUGGCUUGAUGGAGCGUUUUAUGCCACGUUUUCUAUGUAAAACUUACAGAAUCGAAAACGUGGCUGGUGAAAACGUGGCUUGCUGGAGCGUUUUCAAAACGUGGCUUGGUGGAGCGUUUUAUGCCACGUUUUCUGUUGCAAAUUUUUGCAGAAAUGCCAACUUUAAAACAUUACACAUAUUACCCCAAAUGCUCCAAAUGCAUGCUAGAUCAUUCUUUUGUCAAAAUUAUCAAUGCACACACAUGUAAAAAGAUUAAAACAUGCAUUUUACCCCCUUUUAAUGGAUCAAAAACGCCUUUAACACAAAUCGAGGGGUUGAGUUCCUUGAUCAAAUUUCGUCUUUUUCACCUCAUUUGGUCACUUUUGCUUUCAUUUCCAAUACCUACAAAUGAAAAAUAACAAAAUAACUCAAACACAUACUUUAAAUAUAAAAUCACACCAAAAUAACAUAAAUAACCAAAACAUUGGGUUGCCUCCCAAUAAGCGCUUUUAUUUAUAGUCGUUGGCUCGACUAUUGAACCUCAUUUUUCAAGGAGGCUUGGUUAAAGAAUAAUCCACCAUUUUAGGUCGUGGUGGAUCAUUAAAAGGUGACUUUAUAGUAAAAGUCACAUGUUCUAAUGAUGUGAGAGAUGGAAGUGGCUUACCUAUUCCAAGUGUUUCAUAGAUAUUACUUUGAAAAUACACCACUUGAGAACUUACCAACGGGGAUGCCAUGAGAGGAUCUUGGGCAGCAAUACCCUUAGAACCUAUACUUUCAAUGCACUCCUCAAGAGGGGUGAAAAAUGAGUCAUUAAAACUCACCUCUUGAGGCUCAAAGUUAGUUCCAAAGAUAUUAUCAUGUGAAAUGGAUAUUUGCUCAUUAAAACACAAUUGAAAUUCAUCAUUUUCAUCCAAAUGCAAUCCAUUUUCACAUACAACAUUCCCACCAUUCAUGCUAGGAUCAUUUUGCAAAUUAUUAGAGAAAAUAACUUCACACAAUACAUGUAAUUGAUCUUGUAUUCUACCAAAGUGAGAAGCCAAUUCAUCUAUCCUUUCCUCAAUCCUAUCAAAACGGUCGGAAGUCACAUUAGCUAAUUUUUCUAUAACUAACUCCCAAGAUGGUUUUGAUUCAUAUUGGACACAUUCAGGUUGGUAAUCGUAAAAAUAUGAAGAAUUAUUAUAAGUACAUUGAUUAUCCCAACCAUAAGCAGGAGAAUUGUUCCAAUUAGCACUAUAUUGAUCAAAACAAGGAUUGUAAUGCUUUGAUUCAUCAUAAUAUUCAACAUUUUGUGCUUGCAUACAUGUAUUAGUAGCAUGAUAACCUCCACACAAGUCACAAAUCACAUGAUAAGAAUUAAAAGCAUUAACAUUCCUCCUCUGCUCAAUUUCAUGCAUCAUGGUGUCCAUUUGAACUUGUAACUUAAUUACAUCAAAUUUUGCCUUUAAGCACCUUAAACCAUCUUCAAAAGACAUACAUUCAGUAAAUUCUUGGUUACCUCUGUUGAAGGAGCUUUGCACUUGGUAACCAUCCAUUACCAAUCUUCCACUUCUCAAGCAUUGUCCUCCAAAUUGUCCUACCCUUCUCAUCACCUAAAAUUGCUUUUAAACAACUUAAUAGCAAAAUUAGUAAGAAGAAUAGGUGAUAAAAUGUAUACACACAAAAAAUACUAAAAUGACAGAAAAUAACAUUCACACAAUAACUAAUAAAAUGUCUAAACUAAUAAAGUUACUCUUCACACCGAUAUUGCCAAAUCUUCCCCGGCAACGGCGCCAAAAACUUGACGGGUUUUUUACAUACGUGCAAGCUAAAAAAUACCGAAUUACACCCGUUCACUGCAAGUAUACAGAUCAACUAGUAGUUUAGGGUAUAUAUCGGGUCGAUCCCACAAGGAAGAGUGAACAAUUACCGGUACUACUAAAACUUCUCUAUUAUUUAGACUAUCAAUGAAUUAUAACAAAUUUUACCUACUCAAAUUAUACAAAAUAACAAAUAAAAGCUCCUUAGGUUGUGGUAUCCCUAACUACUCAUGCAAGUGUUAUAUUUGGAUCAUUUAGUACUACAUCUAGGCUAGUUAUGGUGUAAUUUCCUUAUGCAUUUGAAUCCUACUUUCGUAGUGAAUCGAUUAUACUAAUAACCAAUCCAUACCUAUUCUCAUGGUUAUGAAAUUAGUUACAAGUUCAUUUCUUCAAUGAAAUUACAUGAAAUUAAUCACCAAAACCCCAUAGGUGCACCUCUACUCUCGUGAGUGUACUCCCCAUGUUUAACACUUAUUGAACUAAUGUUAAAUCUCAAUUUUCAUUGCAGAAAUAACACCUUAGAUAAUCACAAUUAAUGGUACCAGAUUAAUCAUGAUUUAAAGAGCUAAAGUGCUAAAUAACUUGCUCAAAUCAUAGCAGUUAAAUAGCCAAAUGAUAAACACUAACAAUCAUAGAAAGUUCAACCAAACCCAAGGUAUAAACUUUAAAGACACAUAUCAAAUAUAAAAUCCAAAACUUGCAUAUUAACUAAAUUUGGAAUCAAGUACAAAAGAUAAAGAGUUGGAAAGGAAUGUAACCCAUGUCACUUGAGCUCAUCACCUUGCCUUCUUCAUCUCCAUCUUAAUCCUAGUCUAGCAAUAUACAAGAAUGGAUGAACUACACUAGCUAAACUAUACUACACUAAUCUGAUACUAACAGAAUGGAAAAACUACAUUUCUGCACUUCCCCCCUGUUCCCCGUAUGUCUCAAUGUCCUGCAUAUAAGCUGAUGAAAAGUCCUUUCCUUACCAGUCAAAAAUUUCUGCUAUGAUUCUCCAAUCUCAUUUUGUUAAGAUAGUCAAAAACCAUUGUUUUUGACUUGAAAAUAAGCCACCUUGUCUGCCCUUUUGUCUUCUGAGGCAUGUGCACCGAAUUCUCUUGCAGAUUGUAGCUGGAAAGUAGUUUGAACAUAAGAGAAUUGACUGAGCAAAUUGCAGAAUUACGGCCAGAAAACGCGCCUACACAAAACGCGGUUACAAGUCACGUUUUGUGUACUCGCGUAUUCACUUUGGCCUUACUUCAUCUGCGAUUUUCUCUAUCAUAAAGGCCGAACUGGCUUUUGUGCAAAACACCAAAGUUGUAGCCCUUUGAGUUAGCUUUCCAAUGCUAUAAAAAUCAUCCAAAUCGGAGUUGUGCAGCCUGAGAUAUGGUCGAAAUACUCUCACCUGGUCAAACCUCUGUUUCCAGUUUCGACCACAGAGUGCAGCUUCUGUAUUCCGACUUUUUGUCCAUGAAAUGGGCAGAAUUGGAUUUCGAUGUCUUCAUACGAAUUGUAGGUCUCUUUCUUAGCUUUAAAAUGGUAUAAAGAUCACCUUAAUCUGAUAAGUGUAGCUCCAGAUAUGAUCAAAAUACUGAAGAGUGUUAAAACUGAUUUGUAUUGCAUUUCCUCACUUGAACGUUUUUCACUUCAUUCUUCUUGUUACCACUUGAAUUCAUCACCAACUUUCUAUUUUUCAUCUCAUUUGACAUCCUUUGGUGAUUGAAUCAUCAUUCCUGCAUAAAAAUGAAGUUUUUAUCAUUAAAAUCACUAAAAAUGCAAUAUUAUCCACUUUUACCAACAAUAUAUAAUUUUACCAAAAACCUCUUUAUUUUAUUUAUAAAACUAGAUAAUCAACUCAAAAUUAACUAAUAAAAUGCACUUAAAAAUACGUAAAAUAAACUCUUAUCAGUAAGCCCCGAAACGUACGGAGGUCGGACUCUCGAGCAGGUAUAAAUGGUAACGCACACCAGCUACAUAAGGUACGCUCACUAUUGGCAAAACACCCCGACUGUUUUACUUCCCGUGAAUCUCACUCACCGGAAAACUAACUUGACCGUCGGAGUGCCCCCGGGGACCACCUCGGGGCCCCCCUGUUAGACCACUCUCUUGUUCGCUUUGCAGGCUUGGGACAUGCUCUUCUCAUCAGCACGCCGAGCUCGUCAGAUCAGCUCGGUGGUCGCGCUUCUUCACUAUUCAAGCAUGUAUCAUCUUAGGAUGAGACUUUCUCUUCCUUUCAUCUUCCAUUCUCCUUUUUCUUGCUUUUUCCUUACUCCUUACUCCCUAAAACAUAUUUGUGCAACAUAUUAUUAGCUACAAAUUAAACCUAAUUAGACUGAACCCACAUUUUGUUAGGACGAACAGUUUGCUGUGUGGUGGUUGCAACUAGUGAAUGACGUAGUUGGUUACUGGCCUACCUCCUUGUUUACAAACCUAGCUGACAGUGCUUCAACGAUCCAAUGGGGUGGAGAGGUGAUAAAUCUUAAACCAAAUGGGCAGCACACCACAACUCAAAUGGGCAGUGGCCAUUUUCCUGAAGAAGGGUUUAAAGGGCAAGUUACUUCAAGAAUCUUCAAGUAGUUGAUGCAUCGAAGACUUUGAGGAGUCCUGGUACCCUUUACACUUUCGCUGCGAACCCAAAUUGCUAUAGGAUAUUACUCGAGAAGAGCAGCGAUGCAUGGGGAAAUUACUUUUACUAUGGCGGACCAGGAAGAAAUGCUAAUUGUCCAUGACCAAAAACUCACAGCUUGAGUUUUUGUUUGUUUUUUUGGGUAAAUUAAAAUUUAUUUUCAAUUAGUAAUUAAAAUGUACGUUACAAUCAAUACAAUAAGAGCUAAGCUAUUAAGUGCUAUCAGUCAAAUAAACAAAGUGACAUCAACAGACAAGCUCCAGCCAACUAUGUUACAACGAAGCAAAACAACUUGAGAUUGUUCAUAAUAAAUUUGGACAUAUAAUGAGGGGCGAAAUUUAGUUAGGAAUUUGAACUUUUUGAAAAAAAAAAAGAAAAAAAUAUCCUGUUAUUAGGCAAUGGGUUGAUUUUUAAUUUUUGCUUUUGAUGAGUAUUUGAGUUUAUUGUAACAAGACUCUCUAAAACCCCUAUGGCUUAUUAAGUUGAAGUAGCAGAGAGGAGGAGAAAUAGAUUGGAUGGUUCGAAGGGUGAGAGUAUAAAUGAGAAAGUCCAGGAAUUUGAUCGCUCUCACUUACACUAAAAAAAUAAAAAAUUGAGUAGUACAUAUUGCAAAUUCUAAAUUUUUCCUUUUAUACAAUAAAAACAAUUUGCCUUUGUAUUAUUCUUCGUUCAAUUAUCUCCUACUUUUCUCUUUCCAAAUAAAGUUUCAUUUUUUUUUUCUAAUACCUCCACUACAUAAAGCAUCUUCUGAAAAACUAUUGUAAUGAGGAACAUUUUUGUCCUAUGAAUAAACCACAAAAAUCUCAUCGAUCCUUAAUGCUGGGACGAAAAAAAAUAGAUCAUCCACUGAUCCAUAAGACUAGUACUACUUGAAAAGAAAAAAAAACACUAGAACUAUUAUAUCUUAUUAUAUUUAAUUAAAGCGAAAAUGACCUGUUUCAUUCCUCACAUUUCGUAAAAAUAUUCUUUUCGUCCCUCACUUUUAAAAUGAAGCAAAAUUGUCCCUAACAUUUAAAAAUUAAGGCUAUUACAUCCCCGAACUUAAUUUUCAAUCUGAAUCAAACCAUCCAAUAACCCAGUAAUAAAUUUCGGAAUAGAAUUGACAGAUCACUCGGUCAACUUCAUCAUAUUUACAUGACAUUUAUUAAACCAAAAAAAUAAAAAUUAUAACAUAAAAGGCCAUUCUUUGUCUUGAAAUAGUAGAGUUUUUUUUUUGGAUAAAUCUUUUCAUACACUAUUACUAUAUCCGCUUGCGAAUCUAGAUAUGUAUCAUAAAUAUAAAAUUUGAUAUUUAAAUUUAAAUUAAAAUGAUAUGACGGUACAUAAAAUUGUCAGUGUAUACAAUAAUAAUAUAGAAAAGACCGCGGAUCCAUCAGAGAAGACCUCGGAUCAGCAUUGAUCCGAGCUCGGAUCUAACUUCACCCCUCGGAUCUGAGGCUCGGAUCUGCCUCUCUUUUCUGCAAAUGGUACAGUCGUUUUUUCUCACUUUUCACACAACUUUUCAGCUAUUUGGAGUGAGUGAAUUUGGUGCAUAUGCUUCAGAAGACAAAAGGGCAGACAAUAUGGCUUAUUUUCAAGUCAAAAACAUUGGUUAUUGACUAUCCUAACAAAAGUUGAGAUUUGGGAAUCAAAAGGUGGAAUUUGACUUGGAAAAAUGGAUGCUCUUGAGCAGUUUUUAUGUAGAGACAUUGGGAGAGGUCAGAAGAGAGCGACGUAGCUAGUUUUCCUUCUUGUAACUAGUUUCUCUCUAACUAAGAGUUCUUGGAGAGGCAUUUUGGGGGUUGCACUUGUAAUCAUCUUGUACAAAAACAUAGCAGAAUUUGAGGGCUUCACCAUCAAUUGGCUAAGCUUUCUUUUAUCUUUCUUGUAUUUGUACUUCAUGAUGUUUUGCAUUAAUAAACUUGUGAGUUUGAUUGUUAAAUCAUUCAUGAGUAGCUAAACUCCUUAAUCUAGGGAGUAGAUGAAACUUAUAGUUAAAUAAUACUAAUUGAAUGUGAUUUACACUUGUUAUAUCUUGUAUUAACUUGUCUACUUGUGUAGCUGUGAUUACUUGUUAUUGAUUGAUCACCAAUAGUAUGUUUAUAGUUGUUAUUAUUCAAUGAGAAUUGGUAGUAACAAUGGAAACACAUGAGUAGAGUUUAAAUUGUUUGUUCAUGAAAAUAGAGAUACACUUAAGUGGAUUACUUAGCAUUUCAUGAAAGAAAACAGAGGGGUAUUAGUAUUUCACCAUGAAAAUAGGGAAAACUAAACUACUUUAGGCCAUUUCAUCAUGAGCAUGAGACUUGGUAAUUUUGGAAAUGAAUCUCUGGUUAAACAAGAAUUAUAACAAAAGGUAAAUCUAUUCAUUUGUGUUGUUUAUGCCAUAAGUGGAAUCUACAUCCCUAGAGUCUUUCUUGAGUGAAAUUUCUCCAUUUGAAUUUAGCAUUUGUUAAACUAGAUUUAUGUAUCAGAUUUAUAGACUAUAGCAAUAUACUUUUUUUGCUCAAAUUUAUUAUAAGUCCAAAUAAUAGAGAAAAAUAAGGGUUUAGUACUUGUUUAAUUUGCUCCUCGUGGGAUCGACCCGAUACAUACCCUACAUUACAGUUUCGGCCUGUAUACUUACAGUUAACGGGUAUAAAAAUCGGAUUUAAAUUUGCAUUGAUAUAAAAAUCCCGUCAAAUUGCAAAAAGUUAGAAGGAAACCCCCUAGGUGUUUAGGGCUUCAAAACUUCAUAUUCGUGUUAGAAAUAAUGGUAGAAUGGGAGAGUGUGGAUUUAGCUCUACCCUUACAUUCUUAUAAUCUCAUACAGAAUUUAAUUCCUUAUGUGAUUUAUCACUUACAUAUACUCGAAGCAUGCUUAUAACCAUUGCGACAAAUUGUACGCAUUAAAAGUUAAUUCUUGAUCAUCAGCAAAAUUCAAUAACAAUGUCUUCGUACACUGUUAGGAAUAUAUGGAUUUGAAUGUAAAUUGAGUAUUUGUUUUCUUUCAUUAUCAUCUAUAGAUAUCACAUAUGAAUAUGUUAACUUAGCAUUUUGAUACAUCAAGAUCAGAUCUUAAUUACUCAAGUCGUUGUUGCUCGUAUUGGAGUGGUCUGUGUGGAAGGAAUCUCAAGUCUAUUGGCUUGGGAGGUUUUCACUUUCCAAUAGUAAUAGACCUGCAGUAUUCCACAAAGCAAUGCAUUUAUGAGUCAACUAAUGACUAGAAUACUAAAGGUGAUUGACUUCGUAUUUUGCGUGUAAUCCUUAUAAAUGAAGAAUAAGUUACCCGUUGCCAAGGUCAGAGCUCAAAUUUCAAUUCUAACAAAUAAGUGAAAAUUUUCCUCACUACAUAUAGGUUGUAAUUCCCAUCCUUUUGUGAGUUAUUGUUGAAUUAUUUGUGAUGAUGUUCAAGUGUAGAUCGUUUGUAUUAUCCCACUGGAUUUCGAUUGUAAUCAUGUGUACCCUUAUUGAAACAAAAAUAAUAAUAAUAAUAAUAAUAAUGUAUGCGAUAAGGAAAGGCAAAGGAGGAAAAAAUUGGAAGUAAUUGUCAUAUACAUUUUUUUAUAAAAGUGUGCUUGUUGACCAAAAUUUUAAUAUCUUCUACAGAUAUCACAAAAUAAAUGUUAAAUUAGCUGGUUUUGAUAUGUCAUGAUCAACACUCAAUUGGUUAAGUCGUUCUUUUUUUUUUUUUUUUUAACUAUCAAUUUUGGAGUCCAUGAAUUGAAGUCGUCUGUGAAAUUUUGUUACUAAUUAACUGGCCCGAAAACUGCUAGGUUUUCAAUGUUGGCAUUGGGUCUAACGACGUGAGCAUCCGAGUACUUACUGCAUGCAUGUAAUUUUUCUUGCGAGGGGUUACAAUACUUGGAGCCUUUGACCAAAAAAAAAAAAAAAAAAUUUUUUUUUUUUGUUUGAGCAAAUGACAACUUUUAUUGAUCAUCAUCAUCGGAAGAUAUCUGUCGUAAAUAUUAGGAUACACUAACCAGGAAGUUUACACGAGGCCGUGACGAGGCUUUGGAGUUUGUUGGGAUUUCAUUGUGAAGCAGUUGGAGAAAUUUGUUACUACUUCAAAAUUUAAGCUAAAAUUCUACUUGUCGCUAUUGUCAAAUUACUAUAAAUUAUGACCGGUGAAAAUGAACUCUCGAGUGAGCCCCUCUCUCUGUCUCUCUCUCUUUUCAUUUGUACAUGUGUGUGUGUAUAUAUAUAUAUAUAUAUAUGUAUGUAUAUAUACACGAACUCUCGAGUCAGCCUCUUUCUCUGUCUCUCUCUCUCUCUUCAUUUGUAUAUGUGUGUGUAUAUAUAUAUAUAUGUAUAUAUACACGAACUCUCGAGUCAGCCCCUCUCUCUGUCUCUCUCUCUCUCUUCAUUUGUAUAUGUGUGUGUGUAUAUAUAUACACACACACACUCACUACCAAAUACAUGUGUAAUACUCCAUAUGUAUGAAUGUAUAUUCUUGGUAGUUGGUGCAUGCAUGGUAUAUUAACUAGCACCCGAAUGGACUUAAACAAUUGGCAUAACCGACAUUUAGUACGAGGUAUCCAUCAAUGAAGAACAAUAACGUUAGAUUGAGGGCCCCCAACAAAAACAAUAACCGACAUUCGUUACAACGUCGUUUUCUCCGGUCUGAAUAACGAGUUUUGGGCAAAGGUAAACCGAGUCUCUCACCAAUGUACUAAAUUUUACUAGUAGUAGUUGAAAGGAUCACUUUUGACUACGAAACCAAACUCAACUAGAUGUUGAAAACUUCCAAGAUCAGAAAAACAACGCUUGCUGAAAGAUGAGAAGAUAUAGCAUCCGGAAACUGUUAGACGGGAGGAACUCGGUCUUAUAAUUGUUUGAGGCGGUUUUUUUUUUGGUAUUAAAAGGGAUUAUAUAUUGAAAAAAACUUAUAUUAUAUGGAGGAAAGGCGUUUGAGGACAAAAAGAAAUACCUCUUGAACUAAAAUUAUGUAUGACUUCUCUUCUCUACACGUCUAAUUUCAACUCUUUUUUUCCCUCUCUUCUGGAAGUUCCAUCUUGAAUAGAGUUCUGAGUGCUUGUUCUUGAUUAAUUUUUGGUUACUUUUUCCGUAGUUAUUGUUCUUGAAUAUAUUCUUCUUGUUAGCCGCAAUUGGUGGUAAUAUGAAAACCAAGUGAUAGUGCAUUCUCUUUCGAUAUUUGUUCAUGAAAAAACAAGAAAGUUUGUCGCCUAAUAAUGGUAACAAGGAAAAGAAAGAUUAUAUGAAUACAUGGCCAUUCACAAUCCAUAUUAAAGUCGUACCUUCUAAUAGUUUUGGGGUCCAGGAUUGAAGAGGUCCGAAGAAUUAUUCAUAGGAGAAACAACCUAAGUUAGGAACCUAACUCUGACCCAAAAACUUAAUCCAUUAGGUCUCGGGUCCUUACUUAUAUAUUAAUUGUUCUUUCUCUAUUUUUAUUCAACGCAAUCCCACCUUAUCACCUAAGAUCAACUUUUCUUCCAAAUAUAGACCCACUCUUCUUCAACAUCCAAACUGGACUUUUGGACCUCCCUUGGCUCCAUCUCAAACCAAUAUGUAAGUUAGGAACCCAAUUUGAUAGAGAGAAACACCAUGAGAGAGUCUAUCAAAGAGUCCAAUACGUGAGUUAGGAACCCAACUCUGACCCAAAAACUUAAACCAUUAGGUCUCGGGCCCUUACUUACAUAUUAAUCGCUCUUUCUCUAUCUUUCGGACCAAUGUGAGACUAAUUCUUUAGUCAUGAAUCUAACAAAUUAUGAGUCAAUUGACUUGGGAGAUUUCGUUUAAUAAACCAGUAGAAUUCCACGAACGAUACUUUAAAAGCUUAUAAAUUCACCUAGUAAUGAAAUCAAAUACAUACCACCAACCUGUGAAUCAAUUUUGCAUUGGAAGGUUUAGAAGUGAGAAGAAAAUGAAGCUAUUUUAUUUCUUCAUUUUAUUAUCCAUGAUGAAUUUAUGUGAUGCCUCAAGCAAGAAGACUCAGGUCAGGAAAACGUUGAGCAGUUCAAAGAAGAUCCCUGUCAAGUCCAUCAAGGUUAUUCCUUCUUCGCUAGUAUAGUUCAGACAUGAACCCUUCUUCGCUCACUUUAACAUUCAUGGUGCCUGUGUUCAUGUUCUUCCAAUUUGUGCUUGUCUAAAUUCUUUUUUCUUCCAAUUUGUUGUUCUUGUACACGUUCUUCUAUGUCUUGUUCUAAUUUCUUACAUAACAAAUUGAAAGAGCUAAGUGCGCUGUCCACAUUUUUAGGACUCACGUACAUGACUAACUGAUGCAUGAUUGUUUUAAAUGGCAGAGCCCUGAUGGUGAUAUUAUUGAUUGUAUCAACAUUUAUCAUCAACCAGCGUUUGAUCAUCCUUUGCUAAAAAAUCAUACUAUUUUGGUGAGCCUUUCUAUCCUACCCAAAAGCAAGACAAGGGAAAAAUCUCUACAAGUAAAAAUUUUAUGUAUUUUUUGCACGUUGUAGAUGAGGCCUAGUUUGCAGCCUCGGAAAGGACCAAUUGGUGGGGUGAACUAUUCCAAUCCAAUGCUCAUGGCCAAGAGGAUAAAAAACCAAUUGCUCAGUUAUGGCAGUUGGGUGGGAGAUGCCCUGAAGGAACUAUUCCUAUUAGAAGAAACCAGAAAGCAAGAUAUGCAAAGAAGGAGCACAGAAACUUUCCCCUGCUCGCUGGCUUUUCCAAUCACGAGGUACCCUAAACAACUGGAAAUUUGCUGUGUACCAUAAACAAUACGACUCUUGUAGAAUUCUUUUUUUUUUUUAGGUGUUGAUAUGCAUGACAGAAUCACUUGAAACAUCUACUCAUACUAUAUUUUUGCUAGAAUUUAAUAUAUACUUGGUGUCUGCUAAUUUUCCUUUGGAGUAUUAUAUAUCAAAAUUCCUUUAACUGGAAGGAAAUUUUUGAGUUUGUUUAAAUCUCUAUCAUUUUUAGCUUAUUAAUUUUGUCGAUUUCUCAUUUUCUUUUUUCUUCAAUUCUUUAGCAUGCAUUUGCAUAUGUCCAAAGUAACAAGUAUUUGGGAGCAAAGGCAACAAUAAACCUUUGGCAACCCCAAGUUCAGGGCAGUGGUGAAUUUAGCUUGGCUCAAAUAUGGGUUCUUGCAGGUGCUAAUUCAGCUCUGAACAGCGUUGAAGCUGGUUGGAUGGUACUUCUUCCCUAUCAUAAAUAGUCAAUCAGCAAUUCAACAAUAAAUACAUCUGGCCAUGCAUGUGCCUUGAACUUUAUUGUCUACUUAUUUCGUUUGUUAAUAUAUAUAAUAGGUAUUUCCAAGUCACUUUGGAGAUAGCAACACAAGACUUUUCAAUUACUGGACUGUAAGUCACUAAAUAUUAUCAAUCCUAAUGCAAAUAUAAUAUGUUUGCCUGAAUCUAAAUUUUUAUCAUAUGUAUGUAUCAAAAUUUGGUAAUGCUAACAGCGUGAUCGUUAUCAAUCCACUGGGUGCUACAACUUGGACUGCCCUGGCUUUGUUCAUACCAGUAAUUCAAUUGCAUUGGGUGCCACCAUUUCACCAGUUUCUACCUAUCAUGGUGCUCAACAUGAAAUCAUCCUACAUAUCUUUAAGGUAAUGACAGCCAAAAUUGAUUAAGAUCCCAGCAUCUUAUGUACAACAUAACCCUAAUUUUUUUUUCUGGGAUUUGAAAAACUCAUAAUAUAGUGGUAUGAUUUUGUUUAGGACCCAAAGAAAAAUGUGUGGUGGCUACAAUACGGGAAUGACGAUGUAAUUGGUUAUUGGCCUGCUUCCUUAUUUAAAGACCUAGCAGACAGUGCUUCACUAAUUGAAUGGGGUGGAGAGAUAAUAAAUAAUGCUCAAGGUGGGCAACACACACACUCAAAUGGGCAGUGGCCAUUUUGCUGAAGAACAAGCUGGAGGGGCAAGUUACUUCAAGAAUCUUCAAGUAGUUGAUCAAUCCAACACCUUAGUCCCUCCUGGUGAUAUCACUACCGUAGCUGAGAAGCCGAAUUGCUACACCAUAGUAUCUGGAAAGAGUGAUGAUGCCGGAGAUUACUUUUAUUUUGGUGGACCAGGAAGAAAUCCUAAGUGUCCGUGACCAAAAACUAAUAACCCCGUGCAGAUGUUCUUUCUUCUGGACUCCAAAAUCGAAUGUUAUAAAAUAAAUUUCUAAGUUGUUCAGUUUUUGUUACAUUAACCAGUUUUCUUUUCUCCAUUUCCCGUCAUAUGAUAAUUGACUUUUUAUAUUUAUCGAGAGAUUGUUGGAACAAAUACGGUCCAGUAACAUAUACAUGAAGGAUCCAUUGCUAUCAAAUUGAAAAUUUCUUCCUUAAAGAGAAAAAUCAUUUGUUAUAACCAAAAUCUUUUUUUUUUCCACAUCUUUACAGGGGAAUGAAGAUUUUUUUUUUUUUUUUUUUUUGCAGUCACUUUGCAACCUAACAUGCUGCAUUCAAGUAUGAGAUUCAAAUGUUAGCUUAUUCAUUCCAUGUUCUAUUAUCAAAUUAAAUGCCAAUAUCCUACUUUAAACUCUAUUUCCAUUUUUGCUGGAUAUGACUUUUCAGCUGUCUGAAUUUUCUUGAGGAACGAAUCCAUUAUCUGGAGAUGUCUUUGGGGCUAUGUAGCAUACUGGAUCUCGUAUGUCUUACUAUAAGGUUAAAAAAGAAAAAUAGUUUUCUAUUAACUAUUUCCAAUAGUUUCUAUUAACUAUUGGAAAAAUUCUAUGAUACAUUUAGUAUUUCGGUUAUUAGCAUUAUAUUUAUUUUUCUUUGGCUGUCCAAAUAUGUUUCGAAUUCUUGCUUUGAUGCAUAAAUUAAAAGAGUUGCAUCUUUUGAUUAAUUGUUCAAGUUCCAUGUAUAGUAACUCAAAUUGGUUAAGUAACUUUCAGCUGCACAGAUGAAAAUGAAUAAACGAAUGAACAAGGAUGAUAUCUGGCAAAAAGUUCCAUUGAAGUAUUAUUCAUUGUCUCUGAAGGUGCAAAGAACAUAGUUCAAAGACAACAUGGUACAUCUAUGCAAUUGAAAUGUAUACCUAACUAGAAACUAAAUAUCUUCUUUUACAUUAUAUCAAGUCAAAGAUACGUAAUUAAAAAGGAAGUAAAAGUCGAGAUAUGAAAGUAGAAUAAAAAAAUGUCUCACCAUAGUGCGGAAAAUAAUAAUGAGCAAAUUAUACAUACUUUGAUGAAAUUACUACAAUUGAGCAACAGUCCAACAGAUUAAGUUAUCAAUUUAAAAUAUAUUUCAUUUUUUUUUUUAAAUUAUUUUAUUUUAUUGAUAGGAGCAAAUUUUACACACUGAGAAAGACCAAUUCGAAGUACAACAAUCGACUAAAAAGGUAAUAAAUCAAACACAAAACCUCCAUGUCUCAUUCAACUGCAUACUAGCUCCAGUUGUCCUUUGUUCUCAGCCCUUCAUACGCUUACUUUUCCGAAUUGAAAGCAUUCCUAAUCUAUCAAGUCGAAUGGCCCCACGAGCCAUAGUUGGGAACGAAUUAAAGGCCUCGUAAAGCUUGACUUGAUGCUCUGGAUGAAUACGCCCACAUUGGACAGUGCAUCAGCAAUUUUGUUAGCUUCCCUAUAGCAAUGUGAAAAACGAUCAGGAUCUUUCACCAACUGCCAAAUCUGCCUAAUCUCUCGUCGAAUCUUCCAGGGGCAUUGAAUGCGAUUCUGAAGAAUUCCAACUAAUAAUAAAGAAUCCGAUUGAACAUAGAGAUUUUGAAAACCCCUAUGUACACAAGUUUGAAGACCAAUAAGGAGUGCCCGAACCUCUGCACAUAGACUUGUAGUUUCCCCAAGAUAUGCCGAAAAGCCAAUCAAAGGUAUGCCAUUUGAAUCCCGAAGAACCCCCACCUCCACUCACUCCUGGAUUGCCCUUAGAACAGCCAUCCGUAUUUAAUAUGAACCGAUCGGAUUCCUUUGCUUCCCAACGAACAAGUUUGUAUGUAACUUCAGUAUGAGAAGAAUACAACCAAUCAUACAAAUGAUGAAAUGACUGUACUCUGAACACUUGUUUGAAAUGAAUUCCCACCAUGGUCUGGAUUUCGAGAAAAUGGCACGACAAAUGGCAAGCGGUCUCAUCUGAACAUCCUCAAACAUUGCUUUAUUCCUUACUUUCCAAAUGUGCCAACAGACAAUGCUGGGUAGAAUGUGCCCAAUAAAUCGUUGUAUUUCAGAACCAUGUGAGCUGAGCCACCACCCACUAUACGGGGCCUCAAAGAUGACCCUGGAAAGGACAAACCACAUGAAGCUCCAAAAUAGUGCCAAACUGUCGACGCUAUAUGGCCAUUAGAAAAUAAAUGUUCAAUUGAUUCCUCAGAUGCCGAAGAACAGCAAAAACACUUUGAGGGUAAAUGUAAACCAAGUUUACAUAACCGAUCUGGAACCGGCAGUCUCCCCAGCAACAAUCGUAGCAUGAAGAAUGAAACUUUGAAAGGGAGCUGAGAAUGCCAAAUUGUAUUAAAGACCAUAGACUUGUUGCGGGCCUGCCUAAUAUCCCGAAACCGAAGCUAUAGAGAAGUUUCCAGAUGUUGUGAGCGUCCAAAUGACUUCAGAUUCACCCCCUUUUUCUGGAAUCGGGUGCUCUAAAAUAGAGGGCACCAUUUCCCUCGGCAGUAUCUGAUAUAACAAAUUCACAUCCCAGUGUCCAUUGAUGAUGAAAUUACCAAAAGACAAAUUUGGGACAACGGUCGCUUGGUGGAACAAAGCACCACCCCCCAACCAAUUGUCGUACCAAAAAUGACAAGCGCCGUCUUUGGCAAUCCAUAGCAUAGAGAAUUCCACUUGUCGACUCACAUUGACCAUCCUGCGCCAGAGUGCGGAGUCCAUUGCCUUGAUUUCUACCAGACAAGGAUGAAGGUGUCUACAGUAUUUUGCUUUCAUAAAUUCAGCCCACAAUGACAAACCCUUUCUAAAAUUCCACCAAAGUUUGAAUGAGAAAGCUGUAUAGAUGUCUUGUAGCUUCCGAAAACCAACUCCUCCCUCAUCUAUCGGAUAGCACAUAUGGGACCAACGUAUCCAGUGAAAUUUCGACUCCUCGGGUGAUGAGCUCCAUAUGAAGGUCGAGAAAGCCUUUUCUAUAGUUCUAAAUACCUUACUCGGGAUAACCGCAGCCGACAUCAGAUGUACUGGCAUCGAUGCCAAGACAUGUUUGAUUAGAACUAUCUUACCUCCAAAGGAAAGCAUUCUUGAUUUCCACGAUAUAAUUCUCCCUAGAAUAGACUGACACGCAUCUCCAAAAUAUGAUGAUUUGCAUCUCCCAAAGUAAAGGGGGCAACCCAAAUACCGAAUUGGAAAUGGUUGCCAGGUAAACUUGGUGAUACGUUCAAUCACCCUUCGUCUUGCCGGUGGUAAAGAUGGAUGAACCAGGUAACAAGAUUUUAGCACAUUUAUUAGCUGACCUGAACACCUUUGAUACCUGUAGCACCUGCAUGAUAACCUUUAGAGAAUAAGAGGAUCCGUUUGCAAAUAUGAGAACAUCAUCCGCAAACGCCAAAUGAGUUAUAGUAGGACAUGCAUACGGGACUUUGAAUCUCACAAAACCCGAUUGCAUGGCAAGGUUAUUCAAUCCUCUAGAUAACACCUCAGCCCCUAUAAUGAAUAAAGCAGGCGAUAAAGGAUCACCCUGACGGAGGCCUCUCGUAGAUUUAAAAAACCAUGAGAUGCCCCAUUUAAAAUGACCGAAAACCAGACAUUAGAGAUCAAUCGCCAUACUAAAUCAAUAAAUAUUUCUCCGAAGCCAAACCUCCUGAGAACAUCAAUAAUAUGAUCCCAUGCCACCCGGUCAUAAGCCUUAGACAUGUCAAGCUUCAUUACCACAUUGCCUCAUCUAUUCUUUUUCCCAAUACCCGAAACUAUCUCCUGAGCUAGCAGAAAGUUUUCUGUUAUAUUACGCCCCUUCACAAAGCCUGUCUGCUGGGGUGAAAUAAUUUUGGGCAGUACAUAAGCAACUCUAUCAGCAAAGAUCCUGGAUAAUAAUUUGUUGAAGAAGUUACACAGACUGAUGGGCCUAUAUUGAGAAAAAUCCUGAGGAUUUGGCAUCUUCGGAAUUAACACAAUGGAGGUAGAUGUGAUGAAUCGAGGCAACUCUGCCCCACAGAAAAAGCUGAGUAUUGCAUUAUAUACAUCUUGGGCGACAACUUCCCAGGCAAAUGUAAAGAAUUUGCCUGUGAAACCAUCUGGGCCAGCAGCACUGUCCCCAUCCAUUGAUUUCACGACUCGAUAGACUUCUUCAAUCGAAGGAACCUCUUCCAAUUUUUUAUUGUCCUCUUCCGAGAUUAUGAAUGGAAUUAGGUACCGCAAAUCGGAAGAUGACUCUAAAGAACACGUGAAUAGGUCAGAAAAAUAUGUUAUUGCCUCAGUUGCUAUAUCAUCAUUCUUGUCCACCCAAACACCGUUUGACUUUUUGAUGCGGUGUAUCAUUCCUUGAGCCCGUCUCUGUCUUACUACCACAUGAAAAUAUCUUGAAUUACGAUCUCCGUGUUUAAGCCAUUUGACCCUGGCUUUUUGGCUCCAAAAUUGCUCUUCAAUUGACAAUGCAUGCCACAACUCCGCCUGAGCCUUACUAAGCUCAACCUGACAUUCCUCCGAUGCAUAUUGAUCCAUAGCUUCCUCUGCACGUUGGACCCCCAUUUCCGCAGAACGAACAACAUCAAAUACGUUCCCAAAGUGUUGCUUGUUCCAAGUUUGAAUAGCCCUCCUCGUUGCCAAAAGUUUAGAGAUCAAAACACGCAAUGGAGAACCAGACACAUCUUGAUUCCAAGCAUAUCGAAUUACCUCCAAGAGUUCAGAUUUGGUUGUCCAGACGUUCAAAAAUCUGAAAGGCCGUGGCGUAUGAUUUGAUCUAUCCUUAAAUGAAAUUUUCAACGAUGCAUGAUCUGAAGGAUGUCUUGCCAGGUGAAGCACAGAAAUUGCGUUUGAGAGAUCCAAACAAGCCCCAUUGACUAAAAACCUAUCCAACCUCUUUGAAACCCGAGCUCUUCCUCUCCGAUUGUUAGACCAUGUGAAGCUAGCUCCUGAAAAUCCUACGUCAAAAACUCCGGCAUCUUCCAUAAAAGACAUGAAUUCCAUCCCCUCCGCUAUAACAAAUGGACGUCCCCCUCGUUUUUCAUGAGGAGCCAAUAUAACAUUAAAAUCACCCCCAAUGCACCAAGGAAGAGAAAUUGGCUUAUCAUUUAAUAAGGUAUACCAUAAGGCACGGCGCUCCUGCACUGAGCACUUAGCAUGAACAAAAGACAUGACGAUUGGAGAAGAAAGCAAUUGACUUUGGACAUGUAUAGAAAUAUGCUGCUCCGAUCUACCCACAAUGGAAUACAUAAAAGGACUACUAUAGAAAACCCAAAUAUCACCGAGUUAUUAACAAAGGUAUGAUCAAAUAAUAAUCGUAGACUAAUGGACUCAAUUUUGGACUCGUCUAGCUUUGGUUCACAAAUCACGACAAACUGAACAUGGUGAGUAUGAACUAAUUUAAGCAAUCUUCGUAAAUUAGGGGCCUUAGCUACCCCUCUAAUAUUCCAAAAUAUUCCACUAAUCAUGAGAAAAAACCUGGAAUGAGUUAUGGGAUGAUGUUGCCGAACGUAGCUGUCUGUCGGAUGGGAAGUAAGCUCGCACACCUUUAACCUUUUCUUGUCGGCAAUCCCUCUCCAUAGCUACAGAUUGGUCAAUGUUUAAAGUGUUAAUUGAUGGCUCCACUGACCUCUCACUUGUUACAACCAAUCUUGGAGAUAAAUUCCCUGCUAUAGUUGGCAAAGCUGCUUCAUCAACUGCAUCGGAUUUGGAAUCUUCCUCCUCGACCCCACGCAAUUCGACAUAAAGAAUUUCAAGCUCAGUGGUGUCGGACUGUUGAAGAUGUUCACCUCCCAAAUGCUUCUCCUCAACAGGUUGGGACCCUUCACCUUUGUUCCAAUUAUCAUUGUCGGCAUUUUGAUUAAUCAAUGUGGUAGUGUUGGCCAUUUGCUGUUGAACAUCUCCCAAGAUUUGCUCCACUAGAUUAUGGGACCCUUCACAAUUAUGUGCAUGGUCUUGGGCUGCAAUUAUCGUUUGAACGUUGUGCAAUGGUCCCUCCCUGUCAUCAUCAACCACCGACUGUCCAUUUGCAUCAGCAGCGGAAGCUUCGGCAGCUUGAGCUUGGGCAGUAAUGCAGUUGAGCUUAUCAUCUUGUGGAGGUGUUGUAUUCUCUUUCUCAGCUAUCCGACCAGGUCCAACAGAUUUCUCCAUUCCAGAUGUGGAAGCUCCUUCGACUGCAACAGCACCAGGUCGCGCAUCUUCAGUCGAUGUCGUAACCUCCAUUGUUGAUUUCCCUUCAGCUUUUGGGUUGUCCGCAGGUGUAAUAACUAACCCAUACUGAUUGUUCCCAAGUAUCUUAGAACCAUGCUGCAGCCGGUUGGUUUGAUGAUUGUGGUAUUGAAGUUCUCCCUUGGAAACGUUAUUCUUGUAGUUGCUAGAUGAAUGACCCAAUCUCCAGCAAGAUGAACAAUGUGAUGGCAUGUUGUCUGGAACAAUUCUUUGCCAAAAUCCUGAUUCUCCUUCAACAGCUACCCAUAUCCUGGCACAACAAUAUUCGCUACAUCGAUCUCCACGCACACCCUGGCCACACUAGGACGUGUCCCAGCAGCCGUUGCCGAAUCCAGGAACAAUGGCUACUAUAAUAUGGAGAACAAAGAGUGUUUAUCGAAAUAAUGAAUGGGUAAAUUUGGAAGCUCCACCCAAAUCGGAACCAGAGAUGACUCUCUUUGCACAUGAAACUCCCUGGUCCAGCGAAAUACCCGCAUCGGAUAAUUGCCCAAUUGCCAAAUCUCUCUUGUCCAAAUCCUGUUAAAAUCUACUUCAGCAGAGCACUUAAUCAGGACAUGUCUAUAAUCCAUCAAUCCAAUGGAAAUGUGGUCUUUUAGAUUUAAAGAAGCAAAGAACUUGCGAAUAUCCUCCAACGAAGGUCUCCCAUGAGAAAAUUUUCCAACCAAAGCCCAUCGAAACGGCACUGCUAGUUUUUCCACAUCUGCUCUCGAGAAGAUGACCGCAGCUUCACCUUUGUAAACAGUUGCCUGCCGAAUUGGGAUAGGAGAUGUUGAAGGCUGUGAGAAAAGUUGGGAGAAAGUUUUUUUCCCUGUAGGAGAUCCUUGCCCCUCAGCCGAUGGCUGAAGGGCAGCCAUGCAAGUAGUACGAACCCUAAGAAAUAUUUGCAGAAAGAGAGAGAAAUGAGGAGAGAAAAAUCUCUUGUAUUUGAAUCUUAUGUUUAGUUAUAAUACAAGCAUGGUCUUUUUUUUUUAAAAUAUAUUUCAUUGUUAUAUGUAGAAAUUAAUCUUUAAAAGAAUCAUUUAAAACGUCUCUCACAUUUCAUCAAAUGAAUAUUAUUAUCCUUUACUGUUAAAAUAGUAAAUUUAUAUUUCUUACAAAAUCAAGUCGAUAAAUUUUGAUUUCAACCUAGAUUUUCGAUCAUUUUUUACGUUGUAAAAUGGCUACAUAACAAGAAAGGGGGAACCAGCGAUGGUCUUCUCUCCGCAGGACGUUUCAAAAUUUGCUGCUUCGUUUCAAAUUUCUUUGGUUGGCAAGUUCUCAAAGGGUCGUCCUUCCAUGGAGGAUAUUCGCAGGUUUUUCAAGGCUUUGGACUUGAAAGAUGAGGUUUCGGUCGGUCUCUUAGAUCAGACAUGUGCUUAUUCGCCUUGCUAGUGAGAAAGAUUUUCAUUGGCUUUGGGGCAGGAACAUAUGGUAUGUAUUUGGAUGCCCAAUGCGUGUGUUUAAGUGGACUUCAUCCUUCCAUGUCGAUAAAGAACCUUCAAUAGUCCCAGUAUGGUUUUCACUACCGAAAUUACCGGAUCAUUUUUUCAAGAAGAGUGUCUAUUUCACAUAGUGUCUUGCUUGGGAAGACCACUCUUCAUGGAUGCUGCAACCAGCUCCUUAGCACGCCCCAGUUUGGCCCGUGUUUGUGUGGAGGUUGAUUUGUUGAAGCCUCUUCCGAAACGGGUAUGGGUUGGUGUUGGAACGGGUGAGGCAGAUGGCUUUUGGCAAGUGCUAGAGCCUGAAAACAUGCCUUCAUAUUGCUCUUAUUGUUUCCGCCAAGGGCAUGCGAUGGAUGGGUGCCAUGUUAAGCAUCCAGAACUGAGAGCGGCACUGCCGCAAGGAGGCCAAAAGAGACAGGAGACCGGUGCAGCGUAUCGUCCCAAGCAGACCAGAGUUGGAGACCAGGAGGACGGCACAUUGAUUGCUGGAGUGAAUCCCAGUGGCGCGACCUCCAUUCAGGCUGGUCCGACGUCGGCAGUGGCUGCUAGUGCAAUUGGUGACUCAUGCGUAGCGCUGGGGGCAGCAGCGGAUAUGGCAGCGGGUGGGUCGGUUGUGGCUUCGCCUGGGUAGGCUCCUGAUGCGCAGGCCAUAGCCUGUCCUGUUGGGAUUGCAGAGACGGUGGACAACCAAAUGGAUGCAGCGCACAUGGCGCUGGCGUCGGGGAAUGUAUCAGCUGGUCCGUGCAUGCCUACGGACACGAUGGGGAAGUUGACAGGUCCCGGUUUGCCGGUUUCCUCUGGAGUUUCAGCAGCGGUUAGGACUGAUCAGAGUGGAGGGGAGACUGGUAGGGAGGAGGAGGCUCUCAUGGAGGUGGCGUUUGGCUCAGCGGUGGAGGAGGGAGGGGUUCAUAGUGCAGAGCAAGUAGCUAGCCUACUUUUAACAUCUUUCAUAGUUUACUCUUCAUAGAUCAAGAUCAAAUGAAGGUGAUUCAAGAAGCACGCGAGGAGAAGAACAGAACAAGCAACUAAAAAGUUUUCUUACUCUUUUUUUUUUUAUCUCUGCAGCAACUCUUUGAAUUCAUGGUUUUGACUUCUAAAUCAUCGUGAACUAAAUUAUUUCUAGGGUUAAGAUUUUUACUAAGGAAUUUGAUCAAUUUUUCUAGUUUAAUUUCUUGCUUUUUGCUAUGAUUUAUCUAUCUUGGUUUAAUUAUAUGUUUGUGAUUGGCCACCAUAAACAUGCUCUUAUGGUUUGUAUUAAAUUGAGAAAGGAGAUACAACCGUGUACUAGGUAGAUAAACAUACUUAACAUAUUUACGAGAGUAGGUUAGAAUUUGUAUGACGCACUUAAAUCACUGCAGUUCUUAAAGGGUUCAAUUAAAUACUUGCGAUCUCGAGAGAGACAUAGAAUUUAAUUAUGCACACUUUAGAUGUAUCGAAAAAUAAUCUAAAAUAUAAUUGUGUGAUGCAUUCAUGGUUUAUUGAGAAAUUAAUUAGAUAAUUGAUUCUAAUUCUAAAUUAAAACCUAAAAGUCUAGACUCACGUCUAGUGUUUUCUCACCACUAUUCUAUUUGAAUUGAUUAUUCCUUUAUUGUUUAGUUAGAAAAAAUUACUCUUUGAAUUUAAAUUUUGUUAUUUUGGAAUAAUUAAAGUAGGAAAUUAACUCAUUCUUUUGGAUUUAACCCUAGAAUACUCCAAGUAAGUUAUUAUUACGAUCAACCCUGUGCGCUUGCAGGAAAUCGUAAAUCACUAAUCUAUAUUCAUUUUUUGUCACUAAAAAAGUGGAAUUUGAUUUUUGCAUAUAUAAAAAGAUAACUACAUGUGUAGCACAUGGUGAUUUUAAACUAAAAAGUGAUCGUAAAAUUAGGUAGGAAUCAAAUUUUAUUAAUUUGAAUUUGUAAAAACUGGAAAGUUAACAUUUUAAAAGUGAGAAAUGACAAUAUUAAUUUGAUGAGAAGUGAGGGAAGAAAAUAUUCAUUUGAUAAAAAGUAAGGGACGUUUUAAAUGAUUUUCCUUUAGUUAUGAUUGUAGAAUAGUUAUCCACCAAUGACUAUUAAAAAAAUCCAAGCUCACUAUUUUCUUUCGCUCCUUGGAAAUUUUGAUCAUAUGUUCUACUACAUCAAUUAAUUAAUUCUGUCUUAGUUUAUUCUUAGUCAGUCAAAGCAUUUUUUCUGAAAUCUUUUUUUUUUAUGCAGAUAACAGUACCUUUUUUGUUCAUUGUUUAAGCUCCUUUUCAAGUAGCUCAAGUUGAUUCCUUGAGCUUCUAAAGGACCCGAUGAAAAUGAACAGAACAUUGAACAGGGGUGAUACAUGGUAAAAUGAUUCUUUCAUAUAGUUCAUUGUGCAAGUUGAUAGGUCAUAAUUUGUUGCUAAUGUAUAAUUAUUCUUCCCUUGAUUUGAGCCAAAUAUUGUCUUAACUGUCGGAUUCUACUUAUAUUUGGUUAAUGGUGCUCAUUGUAGGAAAAGGAGCAAAACGUGAUUAAAAGUGACAAUUUUUUAGUUAAUUUGAGGGUGGUACGUUCGGAACCACCAUUCAAGGCCAGAAAGUCGAGAUUGAUAUUGUGCAGUUUCCCAAUCCAAGUCAAAUUCCGAGUUUUAUAGCUACUGGAACUUUUCUAUUUGUAUUAGACAUUAUUUUCGAUUAGUGAGGAAGAGAUUGACUUGUAAUAGGAAACCAUCCCCUCAAUUGAUUAACUUAUUCCUAGAAAAUAGGGAUUGAGCAGAGGAUUUUUGGGGGAUUGAGGCGGACAUCAGUUUUUCAUCUUAAAGGCUAGAGACAAAAAGUAGCACUGCAGUUUCUUGUCUUUUCUUUCCUUUGCACGGAUUUGAGAGAGAAGAAGCCGGAUUCACGUUUGAUUAGGAGUUCGGCCAGCAACAAAUUCGGGAAGAGUUUUGUUUUCCUUAAGAAGCUACAAAAUAGGAAUGGAGAGGACGGCCGUGACUUGUCUCUUUUCUUUGUCUUCUUUCGUUAGUUUUUGGAGAAGGAACCAAUAGUUAUCAAGGGAGUCCUGCAGAUUUCCCUUGAGAAUAUGUAGCUAAAUCUCCGUUUUCUAGUCAAGGGGACAACUGCCGAUUUAGUUAGGCAAUUACUGUGAGAUCUAAAUUAUUUUAACCGUUUCCUCCAUUUAUUGCUAUUUAUAUGUUUUCUGCUUUUAAUUGUUAUAGCUUUUAUGUAUGAUUGAAUAGUGCGCAAUAUUUAAUUAUUCACGUAGGCUAUUUUGUUAAUUGGGGAUAAUUGAAUCCGUAAUUGUUCGAUUACCUCCAUCCCGGUAGCAACUGGCGUAAAUUGGAUUUAUGUCAGGAAAACAUAUGAUCUAAAUUAAACAAACCCUCGUAGCAUGUUUGUUAGUUAUGAUUAGGUUUUCUAAUCUUAAUACAAUCUAGAAAUUAAAUCUAACAGUCGUACCUAGGGUUGUUUUCGGGUUAGAGAAAUAGUUAACGGUCGUACCUUAACUAUCGAGAAAUUAAGGAAAGACUGGCUGUUUAUGCGCGUGCAUGACAACUAUAACUAAUCUAUUAAUAAAUGUUGGAAUUAUUUUUGAAUGAGAUGAUCAGUUGCAUGAACCAUUUUUUAAGUGUGCCCUUGGCUAGAGUUUUCUCAAUUAUUUCUGUCAAUUAAUUAUUUUCUGCAUUUAAUUUACUUACUUAGCAUUUAAUCCUGAAAACCCCAUUUGUCUUAACUCGAAAGGAAAUAAAUUUCUCUCCAGUCCCUGAGGAGAACGACCCUGCUUGUCACUGUCUACUAGUUAGUGAAUUUAGUCAGAUAAUUAAUUCUGAUAUAUCGAUUAGCAAACUCUUCAAGAAUAUGGUGAAUCAAGUAACCCAUUGCCACCUAAAGUCCCUGCUCCAGUACUUAGAAUUGAUUAUUGAUUGCUUUGGUGGUAAUUAGAUUUUAUUAUUAUUAUUGCACAGGCUCGAUAACCUGUCACAAGUUCUAAAGUUGCAGCGAUAUAGAUAACGGACUGGGGAAGAUGACAAGUCUUGUGAUUUGCCUUUGACUGAUUAGAUUUUUAGUCAUUAUUAUUUUGCUCCUUGUGUUUUGGCUCACUUUUAAACUUUAGCUCACAUGUUAUCUAAAUUGUGAUUAACCCAAAAAAACAUUUUUUAUUUUACCAUCUUUAUAUAGCACUACUACGUGCAGUAAUAUUUAAAUAUCUAAACUUCCUUUUAAUGUCAUAGUCCUUUAUCAUGAACUUUUACCAUGUUUUUCAUAACUAUUAUUACCACUAUAUAUUUAUCUACGAUUUUAUUGUAUUUAUUUGUAUUUUAAUUAUUUAUUUGUAAUUUUUAUAUUUUUUAUACAUUAAAAUUUAAAAUUUGUGAGGCUUGUGCCCCACACCUCGAGGCUUUUGCGCCAUCUGUGUGAAAACAAAGUGUUUUACUCAACACCUUUACCUUUUAAAACACUGCUGCUAACCGAAUGCGUUAGAAGCUAAAUACUAAACUACUCUCACAAUACAAGACCAAUUUGAACCAUACCUUUUUUUUUUUUUUUUGUUCUGAGGGAGUUGCAUCUUGACUUGGUUCUGACUUUUUGCAUUUUUUCUAUUUUCCUGCCUACUCUUCUCUUGCUGUUUGUUUUGUAAGAAAAAAAGAUAUUUUUCUUGUUAGCCUACAAUGGUUUGAUGGUAACAUGAAGAUGAAGAGAAUACAUUUUCUUCAAUAUUUGUGCAUGAAAAUACGAGAAAUAUGUAGUAAAUUAAAUUCAAGACAACACAUGCUCGUUGCACAGGGUUUGCCUAGUACAUCUUUCCCCUCCGUAUGGUUGACAGUCUAUUGCAUGAGGUGGGAUUUAUCCAGGACGCGCUCUCGAAUAGUGGCUACAAGUUUCCUUGUCAAAAAAAAAAAAAAAGAAAACAAAUUGUUCUGCCGACUUGGAUGUGGCCUUUCAUGAUCCAUAUCAAAGUUCCAAAACUAAACUUUUUUUUUUUUUUUUGGUUUUCUCUUCCUUAAGGGAGUCUAGUCUAGACUUUUGAUGUUCUUUUUAAGCAAUCCAACAUAGAUUUAUGAAUCAAGAUUUUAACCCCAAAAAGAGAAAAUUAAAAAAAAGGGAAAAUAUUUAGGUGUAGUCUGUUAAUGGGUCUACUGAUACGCAUGUUAUAUUAAUGUGUUAUAACAAAUUAUCUUUAUUUUUUUUAAAAAAAAAAGCCUUUUUGAGGAUUAAUUGGGCUCCGAUGCAUUACAAAACUAAAUGUUGAACUCCUUUCACAGUACAAUCUAAUUUGAACUUCUUUUGUUUUUCUUUUUUUCUUUUAAGGCAGUCCAGUAAAGACUUAUAAAUGGGCAUAUUAGCCCCAAAAUGGAAAAAAAAAAGGAAAAGGAUUGACAUAAAUUAAAUUAAUAUAUGUAUGUUUUGAGAGCCAUAACAUUGGUUAUGAUCUGUUUCUUAAUUGGUUCGUGGGGGCUUGUUAAAAAUCCAAGUCCAGAUAUAGAAUUUCAAAAAAUUUCUUGAUUGUUACUACUAAUUUAUCAAUAUGCCCUAUUGAUUGAGACAAUUGUAGAUUCCAGGUGUUGGUUGUACAAAAUUUUUGACUUUACUUUGAUUAUUGGUGGAAAUUUAAUAUAAUAUGUGAUAUGAGUAACUUGAUAAUAAUUUUUAAUAAACAUAAUUCAUUAAUACCUUGCCUCUCAAGGUACAUAAUUAUCGUUAUGCUGGCUCGAAUACUUCCUAUUUACAAAUGUCAAAUGAAAAUCAGAGAUUGGAAAACAUAAUACACAGGUGGUACAUAUCAAAUGCAGAAAGUGUGGCCUGCUCAAAAGUUCCAAUUCGUUAUUACAACUUUAAUUGAGAUUGAUCAACCAACCUGCUCCAUUUCUAGAUCACCUAUAGAUUCACAAAAGGGAUAAUUUUAGAAACCUCCCUUGAGGUUUACAACAAUUUCAUUCAGAUCCCUCAAAGUUUUAAAAUUACAAAUACUUCUCUUAUCAUUUGAAUUGACAAUACUGCCCUUAAAUUUUUUAAUGAAAUCCCCUGUUUUGUAUGUUUAUCCUUAGAAUGAUUUUUAAAAUUAUUUCUUUCAUUAUUUUUCCUUCUUUUUCCUUUUUUAUUUUUUGCCAAUAAAACUAUAGAACUACCACUGUCACCUCUGGUUUCUAUUAUAACCAAAUGUCGAACUAUUGAUUUUUUUUAUAAGUUAACUUUAUAUGAAAUCCAAAGUUUUUGCUGAUCAUUGUUUUCUAUUUUUUGGUAUUAAAAUUAACAAUAAAUCAAAAAGAAAUGACCCAAAAUCACUACUAAAUUAUGAUAAUUUCACUAUUUAAAAAAUUCAUAAACUCUAAAUGAAUUAUUUCAACUUUUCUUUUAUAUCUUAUAAAUCUAAAUCAAUAGUAAAAUACCAUCAAAAGUAUCCUAUCAUAAUGAUAAAAUUAUUAGUAUAGUUGUUUAUCAAAUAGUAGGUAUGAACAUAACAAUUUGGCACCUUUUUUUAUAAUUAUACUAGAUAAUCUUACAAUUGUAUGGGGAAGUAAAUUAAAACUCAUUAUACAAGGGCAUUUUUGGGUAUUCAUUUAAAAUUUUGACCAAGUCAAAUAUUAUUUUAAGAUUUUGUUACUAAAACUAUCAAAUCAAGAGAGGUAAGUGUAAUUUUUCAAAUCUUAGGGGAGCUCAGUGAAAUUGCCAAAAAUCUCAGGGGAGGUUUUUGAAAUUAUCCCUUCACAAAAAGGUUCAAUUGAAUCAUCAGAAGAACAACUGCUUCUUUGCACCUAUAGAGGUGAAUCUUGAGGAUAAAAUACUGGUUUGGGAGGCAAUUAAAAACCUACAUUAAGAUCACCUUCAAGCAUUGCUAAGAUUUCUCUCAUUGAUGGACGAUCAGUUGGUGUCAUCUAUAUUGCUGUCCCAUUAUACUUCUUUUACACUCAUUCCACUAUUGUGGCAUUUGAUUGUAAUCAUGUACAGAUGUACUCUUAUGGGAAAAAAAAAAAAAGGCAAAUGAUUCUUUGUAACCAAAGACAAAAGAUGGAAAAUUUCGAAUCAAUUGUCAUACAGAUGUUUGAUCGAAGUGUGGUUAUUAAACAAUCUUUCUGAUAGGUUACAAUUUUAUCAUUUAUUUUGUUAUUAAUUUUCUCUAUUACCUAACUCGAUGUGAAUUAAUUAUUAGAUUCUACUCACUUUUCGUAAUUUGCAUUUAUUUCAGGGAGUAGAACGAAAAUACCACAACCAAGGCCAAUUUGGCAAUCAUCAGAAAAGAGUUCAAGUAGCAGGGGCAAUUUUGGAAUAUCAAGCCGUGACCUUUCUUGGUAAUUUGGCCGAAGACAGCAUUAAAAAGAGGAGGGUUGGAGUCUUCUUCGGCUGGGCGGCGGAUGCCGCACAAUAGCAGUAGGAACUAGAUGUUAGAUUAGAUUUUCUUUGGACUUUUCUUCUUCGUUCUUUAGUAGAGACACUUGGUAGCAUAGAUUUUGACUUUUCCUUCUUUUGCUUUUUGGUAGUAGUUCUCCGCCGUGAGCCAUAGGAAGACUAGUAAUUACUUUUCUGUAGCUUGCUUUUUCUUAUUGAGUCGGACGAAUUGAAUUUUCCCAAUUCUUGGAGAUGAUGGCCACAAUUGUUGCUGCAACUUUGUGUGGGUCUUUCUUAUCCGGGAUGAAGUAAAUCUCUUUUUUCUAUUCAAGGAAGAACGGAGGAUUUGGUUCGCCUAAAAUUGUGAGAUCGAUUUAAUUUUACCUUUUUCUUUUAUUUAUUGAUAUUCGCAUAUUCCCUGGUUACAGUGCUUAUGAUUGUUCAAUUAAUUGAUUGUCUUGAAUCCGGAUAAUUAGUUAAUUUGAUAAUCUAUUGUCAAUUGGGACGUUAAAUCCGUAAUUUUUUAAUUGUGUCAAAAUAGUGAUAACUGGCAUGAUUGGAUUUGUAUCAGAGGAAUACGCGGGCUAAGCUAAAAUAACCCUGGUAGUGUGUUAUUUGGUUAGAAUAGGGCUCCUCUAAUACAUAAGGCAAUUGGGGAAUUAAAUCUUACGGGCGUACCUAGGAUUAUUUCUCAAUUAGAGCAGUGGUUAACGGACGUACCUUAAUCACCGAUACAGUAAGGAGGGGUUGACUGUCAUCGCUUGUUUGGCAGUUAUAACCUAUUUAUUAGUGAAUAAUUGGAAUUGCCUUUGUUUCAAUGAUCGAUUAGGUACACCAUUGCUGAAGUUAUUUCUUGGUUAGAUCCUUAAUUAUCACCCAUUUGAUUAUAGUAAUUUGUUAUUUAAUUUUUAGUAGCUUCUUAGAUUUUAUUUGAAUUUCUUUUAUUGUCACCUUCUGUACAAAAACACCCCCUUGUCACUGUAAAUUUGAAAAGAAACAAUUACUCCCAAUCCCUGUGGAUUCGAUCCUGCUCACCGCUAUCUACAGAAAUUACUUUUAGUUUGAGCAGGUUUUAUUAUUGUACAGGCCGACACCCUAUCAAUUUUUGGCGCCGUUGCCGAGGACUGGCACUAGUUAUUUGUUUCUUUUUGAGUUCAUCUUGUUUUCAUUUUUUUAUUUAUUUUUCUGUUUUUCUAUAUAUAGUUUAUGGUUGCUAACAUUCCGUAUUUUGAUGAUAGACUGGACUUUAUUCCUGAAUGGGGUUAUGAGACUCGUGUUUUCCUAAUGAUCAAUGGGCUGUUGUAAAUUGUGGAACUUAUUUUGCCUCAGGUUAUUCAACGACACAUGCCACCGCAUUUCAAGAUAAUCUAAGUGCUCCAAUUGAUACUUUUGGAGAUUUUUCACCUCGAUUUCAAACGUGGUAUGACCCUUACCCAAACAGAUAUGAUCAAGGAUAGUGGGAUGAUUCCAAUUUUAAUUAUGCAACCGGGCCAAUGGGUUUUCAACAGCAAUAGUCUCAACAACCAUCAUCCGUGUCAGGUAUGUCUCUUGAAAAAAUGAUUGAAUUACUAGCUACUAAUACAUAUCGAUUUCAUCAGGAGACACAAGCGAGUAUUCGUAGCAUGGCGGAUCAAGUGCAACUAUUGACAUCCGGGAUGGCAGAUCAAGUGCAUCUAUUGACAUACAGGAUAACGCGAUUAGCUUCUCACCUUGAAGAAUUGCCCUCACAAACCAAUAUCAACCUUGAAGAAGAUGAGAGUGCAAUUAUCCGACCAAAUGACAUGAAACUGCAAGAGUUUCAAGGAAACGGAUCUAAAGCUGUAGUUGAAAAGGAAGCUGAAGUGCAAGAAAUGAGACCCCAAUAUCAACUCGUCCAAGUGAAUGAAUCCAGUGAACAAUCUCCAAAUGCGGUGACAUCUCCUCCAUUCCUUAAUCAAUAUUCUCCUGACUCUUAUUCUUCAAUUCCUGUUAAUGAAAUUGACUUUAUUAUACCAGAAAAUUUUGAAUUUCAUGACAGGAAUACAUUAAGGGUAGCGAUGUCAAUAUAUCUUGAACCAAUAAAUGCAAGUGAUGGAGGAGUGAGUGGAGAAUAUAAAUUAUUGUUGACUUGUUUGGCGCCAUUUACUAGUCCAUGGAAACCCGUAACUCGUAUGCUCAAGGAUUAUUCUAUUUACGAGAACUAUCAGAACUAUAUAGAGGAUGAAGCAUUAAGACGAGUCACAAGAUUUUAUCCUCCAUGAACAAAACAUGAUGAUGUCUAACCAAAGAUAUUAAAGAAAAGCGCUCAUUGGGAGGCAACCCAAUUUAUUUUAGUUAUUUGUUCAUUUUUGUUCGUUAGUUUAAAUAUAUUUUUCAUUGGAUUUGAUUGAUUUUUUGCUUCAAUUUUCAUUUUGAUGAUUCAUAGGCAUCCCUCUGACAUGACGCGCCCCGUUAACUGGGCGCGUGGCACAUUGCGAUUUCCUGGUGCUUAGUAAAAAGGGUUUCGAUUCUCUUAACGUGCCUGCGUCAAGUCCCAUGAAGAGCUCAUGGUCAAAGAGCUCUCUUGUCCUCAUGACGUGCCCGCGUCAAGUCCCCCGAAGAGCUCCUCAUUCCGUGCCCUCUUGACGUGCCCACGUCACGUUCACGGGAAAGGUAAGUAUUAAAAAAAGCUCAAGAACAGUUAUUGAUUUUCUGUUAUUCUCUAAUUUUUAAUUUUGAAAAUAAGUUUUGUUAAUAAUAAAACUUUUAAAAAAAUAUUUAAAAAAUAAAUAAUUUUUUAAAUAGAAAAUUAGAAAAAAAUUUUCCGUUUAGCUAUAACCUUUGUUUCCAAAAUUAAAAUUUAAAAAAAAAUAUUUUCUUUUCUUUCCUUUCUUUCUUUCUUUCCUUCCUUUUUCUUUCUCUUCUCCUCCGCUUCCUUUUUUCCCUUUUCUUUUCUUCUUCGGCCAAGAACCCAAGUCGCGCGCCAUCCACGGCCGCCAACUGUGGCGGCCGCUCCUCCUUUCCACCGAGUGCGAUUCAUCUACCUCGUUCGCCGCCGUCGCACUCCAGCCGUGGCAACCCAGCUCGUCGCAAUAUAACAAGCCUCGCGCGCCUCUCCACCUCGCUGGUGCACAUCCACCAGCUCAUCGUAGCCCUACUCUCUUAGUCGCGAUCGCGCGACCACCACGGACCGCCGCCGCCGCCCCUUGCCAGUUCCGCUACCACCCACUGCACCAACGACACCGUUGGGCAGUGGGCAGGUAUCUCUGAGUCCCUCUGUUUCCGAGUUGCCCUUUAGUCUUUUGCAUUCUUAGUUGUCAAUUUUUGGGGCUCCGUUGAAGGCUUUAUGGUUCAUUUGCUCCAUGAGACAUUCUAGUAGCCGUUGCGAGCUUCCUCAGUGCUGUUAAGUUGAGUUGUUGAUUUCUUGAAUUGGAGACAUUUGUUGAUUUAUUUGAGCACUAGCACUAUCCCUAGUCCUGUUGAGUAAAAUUGGUGCAUUAUUUGGGGCGAUUUAGGGAGUACUUGUCAAUUGAUUUCCGUUUUAAUCUCUACUAUUCCUUGGUAUUGAGUGGUGUGUUUGGAUUUAUCAAGUGAUUUGGGCUAGGCAUUUGAUUUAAUUUUUUCCUGUGCAUUCACGCAGUGGUACUGGCGAUGGUGGUUGUUUAACAUUUGUUAAUCUUGUGUUAUUGGUUGCCUAAUUGAUCGAGUUGUGACCACUGGGCAUUUGUGAUUGAGUUAUUUCUGUCCAACUUCUGAACUGCUAUUGCUGGAGCUGCCAUUUCUUGAUCAAUUGCUAAUGUUAGCAGGUUGACACUUUGGAUGCUGGAGUGAAGAAUAUUGACGCCAAUGUGGCCAAUAUUGCCCAGAAACUAGCAGCAUUUAUGCAGCACGUUGGCUUUCCUCCUCCUUUUGGGCCUCACUCGCCGAUGUUUUGACGACCGUAGGGAAGUACCGUUGCCCUUCUUCUUGCUAUUACUGUUUAUUCGUCAUAUUGAGGACAAUGUGUCAUUUAGGUGUGGGGGAGAUCAGUUGUGGUUCUAGUUUUUAGUAGUUUUUAGUUUUUAGGGGUUUUUCCUUUAUUUCUAAUUUGUUAUUUGUCUAUCUUUCGUUCAGUCUCUUUCUUUCUUUUUAGUGCUUAGCCCUCAUGUGAAUACCACAGUUUGAUGUUAGAUUGUUGACUCUAAUUCUGCUAUUGCCAAGUUUUAAUAAUAAAAGUGUAUCAAGUUAAUGUGGUUGAAUCCAAAAAUAUUUCUUUGGUAAAUAUCGGUGAUUGUUUUAUUCUUAUAAUUUUUGGUUAACUUUCCUAGGCAUAGGGAAUGAUUGUUGGCAUUUUCAUGUAAAUUGGUCUGGUUAUUAAUUUUAGUUCUCCAUGUUUGAAAAUGAGGCUAGCUGAUACAAAUUUUCUUUUGGUUUUUGAGUUAUAUUGAGUUUUUGUAUUAUUAGCUGUGAAUAAGAGUUGACUGUACUCCGCUAGUCUUUACUACCGAGUAACCGGGAGUUUUCACCAAAAGUGUCGAUUCUCGCGUCAAAAAGUAAUAAUUACUACGAGUACGUGGUCACGUGGCGAUAGAAGCUGAGUAACCGAGCUCUUUCAUCUAACAAAUGUUAGAAUUCGCGUCAAAAGGCUCCAAUGGCUAGCGACUAAAUCUUUUGUUACUAUUGAGAAAGCAAAAAAAAAAAAAAAAAUCAAAAAAGAGAAAAGUAGAAAAAUGUGAAAAAAGUGAAGGUUGUGUUAGUGUGUGAUAUAAGUCAGCUUGCCGAAUUAUGGAUUUAAUGUUGAGAUUUUGGUUAGUAGUUGGACCAUUUGCUGAUAAAUGUUGAGCGAUCAUUCCUUCUUCUUAGAUUAUUUAACUUGGAAUUGGAGUUUGUAGUUUAGAAGCUAACCGAGGUAAUGUUUCUUGGAUUUUGAUCACUGAUGCUUGAUAUAUAUUUUUCUUGAUAUCUUGGCAAUAUGGUAGAUAGAGCAAUAGCCAUUGUCAAAUAUUGGUGUUUGUUUACUGUUCUUAUGCUUGAGGACAAGCAUGGUUUAGGUGUGGGGGAAUUGAUAGGUUGCAAUUUUAUCAUUUAUUUUGUUAUUAAUUUUCUCUAUUACCUAACUCGAUGUGAAUUAAUUAUUAGAUUCUACUCACUUUUCGUAAUUUGCAUUUAUUUCAGGAGUAGAACAAAAAUACCACAACCAAGGCCAAUUUGGCAAUCAUCAGAAAAGAGUUCAAGUAGCAGGAGCAAUUUUGGAAUUUCAAGCCGUGACCCUUCUUGGUAAUUUGGUCGAAAACAGCAUUAAAAAGAGGAGGGUUGGAGUCUCCUUCGGCUGGCGGCGGACGCCGCAAUAGCAGUAGGAACUAGAUGUUAGAUUAGCUUUUCUUUGGACUUUUCUUCUUCGUUCUUUAGUGAAGACACUUGGUAGCAUAGAUUUUGACUUUUCCUUCUUUUGCUUUUUGGUAGUAGUUCUCUGCCGUGAGCCAUAGGAAGACUAGUAAUUACUUUUCUGUAGCUUGCUUUUUCUUAUUGAGUCGGACGAAUUGAAUUUUUCCAAUUCUUGGAGAUGAUGGCCGCAAUUGUUGCUGCAACUUUGUGUGGGUCUUUCUUAUCCGGGAUGAAGUAAAUCUCUUUUUUCUAUUCAAGAAAGAACGGAGGUUUUGGUUCGCCUAAAAUUGUGAGAUCGAUUUAAUUUUACCUUUUUCUUUUAUUUAUUGAUAUUCGCAUAUUCCCUGGUUACAGUGCUUAUGAUUGUUCAAUUAAUUGAUUGUCUUGAAUCCGGAUAAUUAGUUAAUUUGAUAAUCUAUUGUCAAUUGGGACGUUAAUCCGUAAUUGUUUAAUUGUGUCAAAAUAGUGAUAACUGGCAUGAUUGGGUUAUUGUCAGAGGAAUACGCGGGCUAAGCUAAAAUAACCCUGGUAGUGUGUUAUUUAGUUAGAAUAGGGCUCCUCUAAUACAUAAGGCAAUUGGGGAAUUAAAUCUUACGGGCGUACCUAGGAUUAUUUCUCAAUUAGAGCAGUAGUUAACGAGCGUACCUUAAUCACCGAUACAGUAAGGAGGGGUUGACUGUCAUCGCUUGUUUGGCAGUUAUAACCUAUUUAUUAGUGAAUAAUUGGAAUUGCCUUUGUUUCAAUGAUCGAUUAGGUACACCAUUGCUGAAGUUAUUUAUUGGCUAGAUCCUUAAUUAUCACCCAUUUGAUUUUAGUAAUUUGUUAUUUAAUUUUUAGUAGCUUCUUAGAUUUUAUUUGAAUUUCUUUUAUUGUCACCUUCUGUACAAAAACACCCCCUUGUCACUGUGAAUUUGAAAAGAAACAAUUACUCCCAAUCCCUGUGGAUUCAACCCUACUCACGCUAUCUACAGAAAUUACUUUUAGUUUAAGUAGAUUUUAUUAUUGUACAGGUUUUAAAGUAAGUCCCUCCCUCCUAGAAGUAGGAGUAGGUUAGGCUAAACUAGAUGUGACGCUAGUGAAAAAAAAAAAGACAGGGGUUCUGUUUGACAUUUUGACUGCGGGUUGGGGGGGGGCUUAAAGAAAAUAGAAUCGAAAGAAUAAAAAGCAAUCUCAAAUGUAGAGAAAGGUAAUGGGCUCAGAGGUCAUGACAGGGGAAGGACGAGAGAGGAGUCUGCUGAAUCAAGAAUCAUCAUCAUCAUCCGUCCACCCAACACUGCUUUUUUAGUAGCACUAUGCGCUUUACUGAGAGGAGGAUCAAAUGAUACCAGAUGAGCCCUUUUUUUUUUCCCCUGCUUUUGUUGAGCACAUUGCAGUGGGGAAGGAAUAUAAAUUAUAUAAAAGAGGGUUCACCCAUAAAAUGAUGUUGGAAUUUUGAUACAAACAUGUAAAGCAAUUGGGGAAGACAGACACUACUGUGUGCAUGUGCUGAUAAUCAUCCUUCCCAAAUAUACCCGCAGCCUAAAGCGUGCGUAUGAAUCAGAUUGAACCCCAAGCUACUCUAUUCAUAAGUGUAUUGCUUCGCUGUUUUUAAAUGUCAAAUCAUACUAAUUUCAACUCUUUUUUUCCCUCUCUUCUGGAAGUUCCAUCUUGACUUGAGUUCUGAGUGCUUGUUCUUGAUUAAUUUUUUGUUACUUUUUCCGUAGUUAUUGUUUUGUAAGAAUGAUAUAUUCUUCUCGUUAGCCGCAAUUGGUCGUAAUAUGAAAACCAAGUGAUAUUGCAUUCUCUUUCGAUAUUUGUUCAUGAAAAAACAAGAAAGUUUGUGGCCUACUAAUUAAUGGUAACAAGGAAAAGAAAGAUUAUAUGAAUAUAUAUUGUGGCCUUUCACAAUCCAUAUUAAAGUCGUACUUUCGUCUAGUAGUUUUGGGGUCCAGGAUUGAAGAGGUCCGAAGAAUUAUGAGUCAAUUGACUUGGGAGGUUUCGUUUAAUAAACCAGUAGAAUUCCACGAACGAUACUUUAAAAGCUUAUAAAUUCACCUAGUAAUGAACUCAAAUACAUACCACCAACCUGUGAAUCAAUUUUGCAUUGGAAGUUUUAAAAGUGAGAAGAAAAUGAAGCUAUUUUAUUUCUUCAUUUUAUUAUCCAUGAUGAAUUUAUGUGAUGCCUCAAGCAAGAAGACUCAGGUCAGGAAAACGUUGAGCAGUUCAAAGAAGAUCCCUGUCAAGUCCAUCAAGGUUAUUCCUGCUAGUUUUGCUAUACUUUCUUACAUUACUAAUUGAAAAGUAGAGUAUGCCGUCCACACUUUUAGGACUCGCAUAUAUGACUAACUGGUGCAUGAUUGUUUUCAAAGGCAGAGCCCUGAUGGUGAUAUUAUUGAUUGUAUCAACAUUUAUCAUCAACCAGCAUUUGAUCAUCCUUUGCUCAAAAAUCAUACCAUUUUGGUGAGCCUUUCUAUCCCACCCAAAAGCAAGACAAGGGAAAAAUCUCUACAAGUGAAAAUUUUAUGUAUUUUUGCACGUUGAAGAUGAGGCCUAGUUUGCAGCCUCGGAAAGGACCAAUUGGUGGGGGUGAACUAUUCAAAUCCAAUGCUCAUGGCCAAGAGGAUAAAAAACCAAUUGCUCAGUUAUGGCAGUUGGGUGGGAGAUGCCCUGAAGGAACUAUUCCUAUUAGAAGAAACCAGAAAGCAAGAUAUGCAAAGAAGGAGCACAGAAACUUUCCCCAGCUCGCUGGCUUUUCCAAUCACGAGGUACCCUAAACAACUGGAAAUUUGCUGUGUACCAUAAACAAUACGACUCUUGUAGAAUUUUUUUUUUUUUUUUUUAGGUGUUGAUAUGCAUGACAGAAUCACUUGAAACAUCUAAUCAUACUAUAUUUUUGCUAGAAUUUUGUAGCAACACACGCAUGCAUCUUUACAUAUAUAGGUUUAAUACUUGGCGUCUGCUAAUUUUCCUUUGAGAGUAUUAUAUAUCAAAAUUUUUGAGUUUGUUUAAAUCUCUCUCAUUUUUAGCUUAUUUUAUCGAUUUCUCAUUUUCUUUUUUCUUCAAUUCUUCAGUAUGCAUAUGCAUCUGUCCAAAGUAACGUGUAUUUGGGAGCAAAGGCAACAAUAAACCUUUGGCAACCCCAAGUGCAGGGCAGUGGUGAAUUUAGCUUGGCUCAAAUAUGGGUUCUUGCAGGUGCUAAUUCAGAUCUGAACACCGUUGAAGCUGGUUGGAUGGUAUUUCCAAGUCUCUUUGGAGAUAGCAACACAAGACUUUUCACUUACUGGACUGUAAGUCACAAAAUAUUAUCAAUCCUAAUGCAAAUAUAAUAUGUUUGCCUGAAUCUAAAUUUUUAUCAUAUGUAUGUAUCAAAAUUUGGUAAUGCUAACAGAGUGAUGGUUAUAAUUCCACUGGGUGCUACAACUUGCGCUGCCCUGGCUUUGUUCAUGCCAGUAAUUCAAUUGCAUUAGAUGUUGCCCUUUCACCAGUUUCUACCUAUCAUGGUGCUCAACAUGAAAUCAUCCUACAUAUCUUUAAGGUAAUGACAGCCAAAAUGGAUUAAGAUCCCAGCAUCUUAUGUACAACAUAACCCUAAUUUUUUUUUCUGGGAUUUGAAAAACUCAUAAUAUAGUGGUAUGAUUUUGUUUAGGACCCAAAGCAAAAUGUGUGGUGGCUACAACACGGGAAUGACGAUGUAAUUGGUUAUUGGCCUGCUUCCUUAUUUAAAGACCUAGCAGACAGUGCUUCACUAAUUGAAUGGGGUGGAGAGAUAAUAAAUAAUGCUCAAGAUGGGCAACACACCACAACUCAAAUGGGCAGUGGCCAUUUUGCUGAAGAACAAGCCGGAGGGGCAAGUUACUUCAAGAAUCUUCAAGUAGUUGAUCAAUCCAACGCCUUAGUCCCUCCUGGUGAUAUCAAAGCUGUAGCUACGAAGCCGAAUUGCUACAACAUAGUACCUGGAAAGAGUGAUGAUGCCGGAGAUUACUUUUACUUUGGUGGACCAGGAAGAAAUCCUAAUUGUCCAUGACCAAAGAUAAUGCAACUUGAGAUUCUCCACAUAUGAAUUCUGACAUAUGGCGAGGGGCAGAAUCUUGAUAUGCAUUUGAUCAUCUGAAUACAGAAAUUGAUUAUAUUUCUUUAGGCAUUAAAUCAAAUUGCAGAACGCAAACAAUGCCAAAGCAAUACACAUUCAGAAGCAAGAAAAAUCAAACUGUACUACUCUAUUAGCAUCAUAAUAUUUACCUGUAUGCCUGAAUAAAUAACCUUUCUUAUU
rnacentral:lncRNA from 1 species